UUUUUUUCUCUCUCCGUCUUUCCAAAACAAACUAGAUAAGAUGCAGAUUGGAUCAAGGGAAGAUGUGAACGACCUCAACUAUGAUUUAGAAAAUGAACGAUGGGUAGCACGUGGUGGAAAUUGAUGAAUGGGUGUUGGACAGCGAAAGGGAUAACGAUGCAGCGGCGGCGUGACUAAUGUGAACAGAACUCGAAACUCUAAAUGAACAAGACACUAAGACCAGCAACUCGACACGACGAUGCAACCGAUAAUUCAACUAUGCAAGCAAUGAAAAGAAAAUUGCAAAGGCUCAGACUGGCUUGGACAAAGGAUGAAUAGAUCUAGCUUUUUUUGUGGCUUUUUCUUGGACUAUAGGUACGAAGAAUAGACUCGAUCUAGACAACGAAAAACUGUAAAAAUCUCAUCGAGCAACCUGGAAAUCUGAUACCACUUGAUAGAGGCGAGGGUCCCUAUCUUUCGAUGAGAUGAUAACUAUCGAUUUGGUGGAGAUGACUUUGAUGAUCCGACUACAAACGUGCACGACGUUGCGCCUUAGCAAUCGCUAAACCAAUCUCCUGAGGUUACUGACGAUGCUGGAAGCACGGUCAGCCUGACCACGAAGGUCUAUUCCUACAAGCAAUCGAAGAACGAUCAAGAAUAUGAUAAAGAAAUCUGAAUAUUGCAAAUAUAUAUGAAGUAUUGAUAAUGGUGGGGAUCCGAAAGCGGUCUUGGUCUGGUCUUUGGACACAAACGAAGUACACGAAGUUGCAAUGGCUAACUUUUAACUAAACAAAUACCCAGCAAAAAGCUACUAGUUGGAUCUACUUAUAUAGGAGCAAGGGAUGGUGGCCAAGGAGGUGGGAGGAAGUCCCAAGGCAACCUAAAACUAACCCUAGGUCGUACAAGGCUCAUGGGCCCAAGUGGAGGUGAUGCAACACCUCUGGGCUUGUAGUUUGACUCGGAUUCUGCUGCAACAUCAGAAUGUUUCAUCUAUGAACGAAUUUGAAGGUGAAUCCAAUUGGGUUGGAAAUAGCACGAAAUCUAGUUUGCAAAAAAUAAAGAAUCACCCAAUUCGGAGUCCGUAUGAAAAAGUUGUUGGCGUUUUGAUCCAGCUAUGUCUGUGUAGUUCGAAUCUGAAUUCAGAACGUGAGAGACUUGGACUCUAUGUUCUCUUGGCCCAAAAGUGACGUGAGAGGACUUUUUGAACAGAACCUAAACUUCUCCUUUUCCCUUAUCUUCAUAUGUGGAUUGUACAAAUGUCCCAUACACCUGCAAUUACACAAAACACAAAAGUGUGUGAAGUAUCUUUUGUUCUUGAUAACAUAAAUUGAUUAUUGAAUAGUUUGCAUUAGAAAUCACCUGACAAAUAUGCAUGUAUGCAAUAUUUUUGGUCGUAUCCAAGGUAGUCAUGUCCUCAUCAUCACGCUCACAAUCCGAGGUGGGGCUACUCUAGUAGGUGCAAGGGUGGAGUAACCACCGGCAGUGGUGAGCAUGAACUGGAAUAGGAGUUGUUGUAGUCACCCAAUGCAUCCUCCUGUAUCUGUCUCUCAAAGGUACAAGCACGGACAUACAUACCAGUAAUGCAACGAGGAAUAUACUGAAAUCUUGCCUUAAUAUCAUGGCUUAAACCACCAAAAAAUCUAUUCAUUGUAUCAUCCUCAGAUUCUUCUAUGUCACAAUGAUGCAUAUAAGAUUUGAACUCUUGGUAGUAAGCAUGAACAGUGUUGUUGCCUUGCUUAAAUUUUUCAAAUUUCGGAAGCAAUUCACGAUGAUAGUAAGGAGGUAAAAAUUGUUGUCUCAUUACAGCUUUCAAAACUUUCCAAGUUGUGGGUUGGUUAUCAAUGUUUUUCUUACAAUGUACACUCCACCAAAUGGAAGCAAACCCAGUAAAUGCUCUAGUGGUAGCUCAUACUCUCUCAUGUUCAGAAAAAUCAUGGUGACUAAAAACUUCUUCUACUUCAAGCUCCCAAGCUAGAUAAAUAGCAGGAUUAAGUCUACCCUCAAAUGAUGGUAAAGAGAUAACCUGACCAUAUGCUUGUGUGUGUUGUCCCAACUCUCGUGAUGGUGAAGAUGUGUCCGUCGUACAAGAACUUGAUGCGGAGCAUCCCACGACCAUCCCCAUGGACGCCACCUCAACUAUCCAAGCUCCAAGUGGACCAAUGACAAGGGCUUGGGCACGUGCUAUUCAAUCCGAGGUGACAUCACUCCUACUUGAGUUUUCUCCCUCUUCAAGUGAGACAUGGCUGCUGCCUAAGUCCGAGAUACUAUGUGUCAUCAGGUACAACACUCAAGAAUCGGAGCCAAGGACUGUAGAAGAAGUGACAGGCGUCAACACUCUAGACAGCCCGGAACUUCCGGCCAGAGCCUAGAACUUCCGGCCCCCGGACCUUCCGGCCGACCCGGACCUUCCGGCCGACCCGGAGCUUCCGGCCGCCGAUGUCUUCGACCAGCCCAGGCGUGCCAACUCUCGGGUUAGCCCGGACCCCGUCCCGGACCUUCCGGCGCCCGGAAUGAUAGAGGCAAAGGUGUCCCGAUUUUUCGAUGAGAUGGUGGCUAUCAUUUCUGUGGGAGUCGACCUUGAUGAUCCGACUACGAACGUGCGAGACAUCGCGCCUUAGCAAUCGCUAAACCAACUUCCGAGGGGUUAUUGACCACGCCGGAGCACGAUCAACCUGACCACGAGGAUCUGUUUCCUGCAAGCAAACGAAGAACAAGCAAGAAACUAAGAUUGCAAUCUGGAUAUUGCGAAUAUAGGAUGAAAGCUUUAUUGAUCAAGGUGGGGUUCUGUGACGUCUUGGUCUGGUCGUUGGACACAAACGAAGUACGAGAAGUUGCAGCUAUGGCGAAAUUUUAAUCUAAACAAAACCCAAAGUCUAAACGACGCCCUAAGGGCUGUAUAUAUGGAGGAAGAGGGGGGGAAUUUCGUGGCCCUUGAGGGUGGGGUGCGAAACCAACCCUAACUCUUGUGUCCCCACACAUACAGACUCUAAAAAUAGCCUAUACUUAAGUAUUUCGAAAUUACAUGGGCCUGGCCCAAUAAUAAGGUGAUGCAGCACCUAGAAUAGCCUAUGGACGAAUAUUAUGAAGUGGCAUCUUGUAUAUUUUGUCCAAGGCUUCAUGCACUCCUUAUGGUGGCUUCAAAGUCCUGAAAUCAUCACUUGUAACUCCGUUCUUGAUGCCCUUGCGGAUGCCAUGAACUCCAUGCGUGUUCUUGCUCCAAUGUUCAUCGUUCUCCAAGCUAGGCCCUUCAUUUGUAAGCAAAACAAAUGUAUCCAAUUUAGGGAGCAUCAUAUUCUCAUGAACAUCAGAAUCAUUACCAAGAAACGAAAGUACCUGGUAAUUUAAUUGGCGUGCGCGAGCUCUAGUAAUUGGUCCAAUAUAUGUAAAAGUAGGGGAUGUGGAUGUAACAAUGGUAUUGAUGUCCACAUCAUCCUCCCCUUCUUGAAAUGAAGUCGUCCUCGACGGAAGCUCAUCUUCCUCACCCAAAUAAGGCUUCAAAUCUGCAAUGUUAAAAGUGGGACUAACCCCAAAAUCUGCAGGUAGCUCAUGUUUAUAUGCAUUAUCAUUAGCUUUGAUUUGAGCAAAUUAGGAAAUCUAUCUUUACGCAAAUGUAACCAAACAAGAUCUCCAGGUGCAAACACAACAUGUUUUCUAACCUUAUCUCCAGCAAGUUUAUAUUUAGCGUUCAUACGCUCAAUGUUUUCCUUAGUUAACUCAUGCAUUUUUAAAAUCAAUUCAGAACGUUCUUUAGCAUCAAAAUUAACCUUCUCCGAAGAUGGAAGAGGCAACAAAUCAAUAGGUGCACGAGGUAGGAAACCAUACACAAUUUCAAAAGGGCACAUAUUAGUAGUAUAAUGCAAUGAACGAUUAUAAGCAAAUUCAAUAUGAGUCAAGCAUUAUUCCCACAUUUUCUUAUUAUUCUUCAAAACAGCCCUAAGCAGAGUACACAAUGUUCUAUUGACUACUUCAGUUUGUCCAUCAGCUUGGGGGUGACAAGUAGUACUAAAAAGCAGUUUAGUCCCCAACUUAGCCCAUAAACAUCUCCAAAAGUGGCUAAGAAAUUUAGUAUCACGAUCUGAAACAAUAGUAUUUGGCACACCAUGCAAGCGAAUAAUUUCACGAAAGAACAAAUCAGCAACAUUAACAACAUCAUCGCUUUUAUGACAUGGUAUAAAGUGUGCCAUUUUCGAGAAUCUAUCCACACAACAAAUAUGCUAUCCCUCCCCUUCUUCGUUCGAGGUAAACCUAAAACAAAGUCCAUAGAUCUAUCCUCCCAAGAACACUAGGUACAUGCAAAAGGCAUAUAUAAACCAUGAGGAUUGAGUCGUGACUUAGCUUUUUGACAUGUAGUGCAGCGAGCAACAAAACGCUCAACAUCCCGUCUCAUCUUUGGCCAAAAUAAAUGUGUAGCAAGUACGUCCUCCGUCUUCUUCACGCCAAAGUGUCCCAUUAGUCCUCCUCCAUGCGCCUCCUGCAACAACAAAAGACGAACGGAUCUAGCUGGAAUGCAUAGCUUGUUAGAACGAAACACAAAUCCAUUAUUAACAAUGAACUUGUUCCAUGUUCUACCUUCUUUACAAUUCUGCAAUACAUCUUGAAAUUCAGCAUCAUGCACAUAUUGAUCUUUGAUGGUCUCCAAACCAAAUAUUUUAAAGUCAAGUUGUGAACGCAUAGUAUAAUGAUGAGACAAUGCAUCAGCAAUAACAUUUUCUUUACCCUUCUUGUGUUUAAUGACAUAAGGGAAAGUCUCAAUGAAUUCAAUCCAUUUAGCAUGUCUACGGUUCAGUUUUGCUUGACUUUUAAUGUGUUUCAAAGAUUCAUGAUCAGAAUGUAUAACAAAUUCCUUGGGCCAUAAAUAAUGUUGCCAUGUUUCUAAGGUCCGAACAAGAGCAUAUAAUUCUUUAUCAUAAGUAGAAUAGUUCAGACUAGGCCCACUCAAUUUUUCAGAAAAGUAUGCAACAGGUUUGCCAUCUUGUAAUAACACACCUCCUAAUCCAAUUCCACUAGCAUCAUAUUCAAGCUCAAAAGUCUUAUUAAAAUCAGGAAGUUGGAGUAAAGGAGCAUGUGUCAACUUAUCUUUCAAUAUCGUGAAGGCUUCUUCCUGUGCGGUACCCCAAACAAAAGGCACAUCCAUCUUUGUAAGCUCGUUGAGAGGUGCAGCAAUGGUGCUGAAAUCUCUCACAAAACGCCUAUAGAAACCAGCCAGGCCAAGGAAACUCCUCAAUUGUGUGGCCGUUUUGGGCUGCGGCCAACUCUCAAUAGCUUCAAUCUUGGCUUUAUCAACUUCAAUUCCCUAUGGAGUAACAACAUAGCCAAGAAAAGAUACUCGGUCGGUGCAAAAGGUGCACUUCCCAAGGUUAGCAAACAAACGUGCAUCACGUAGAGCGAUAAAAACAGCACGUAAAUGUUCCAAAUGUUCUUCCAAAGAUUUGCUAUAAAUCAGUAUAUCAUCAAAAUAGACUACCACAAGUCGUCCAAUGAAAGCACGUAAAACUUCGUUCAUUAGUCUCAUAAAAGUUCUAGGCGCAUUAGUUAACCCAAAAGGCAUGACUAACCACUCAUAUAAACCAAACUUAGUUUUAAAUGUUGUCUUCCAUUCAUCUCCCAAUUUCAUACGAAUUUGAUGGUAUCCACUAUGCAAAUCAACUUUGGAGAAUAUUGUAGAGCCACUCAAUUCAUCAAGCAUAUCAUCAAGCCUAGGAAUAGGAUGACAAUAAUGAAUAGUAAUAUUAUUAAUGCCUCUACAAUCAACACACAUACGCAACGUACCAUCCUUUUUAGGCACUAGUAUAAUAGGAACAGCACAAGGACUAAGAGAUUCGCGUAUAUAAACUUUGUCGAGAAGCUCCUGUACUUGACGCAUAAUCUCCUUCGUCUCCUCUGGAUUGGUACGGUAUGGUGCACGGUUGGGUUGCGAAGCACUGGGAAUUAAGUCAAUUUGAUGCUCAAUCCCUCGAAUAGGUGGUAAUCCCGGUGGCACGUCUUGUGGAAAGACGUCAGCAAACUCCUGCAAAAUGUGAGUGACAGCAGGGGGCAAAGAGGAAGGCACGUCCUCGAAUGAAAAUAAUGCCUCUUUGCACAAAAAAGCAUAGCAAACAGAUUUGCUAAAAUCUAGCUCAUCAAUAUCAGAUUUGGUGGCAAUUAAACAUGCACUUUUCAAUUUAAUUUCAGAAACAACAGUAGAUGGUUUAUUAUUAGGCUUCAUUUGGUGCUCAAAUUCUUUUGCCACAAUCUGAUUUUCACUCUUAUUUGUCUCCUGUUUUGCUUUAUUAGGUCUAUUAAUAUCAUCUUUCAAAAUGGAAUCAGGAGUCAUAGGAAGCAAAGUAAUAUUUUUAUCGUUAUGAACAAGAGUAUACUGAUUGUUUCUACCAUGGUGUACAGAAUUUUUAUCAAAUUGCCAUGGUCUACCAAGUAAUAAGGAACAUGCUUGCAUAGGUACCACAUCACAAUCAACAUAAUCAGCAUAUGUAGAGAUACUAAAAUGCACACGAACAGUACGUGUUACCUUAACCUUGCCGCUGUUGUUGAACCAUUGGAUGUAGUAAGGAUGUGGAUGUGGUCUUGUGGUGAGAGAUAGCUUCUCCACCAUAUCCAUGCUAGCCAAGUUGUUGCAACUCCCUCCAUCUAUGAUCAGGCGAACAGAACGUUCCUUCACAACUCCCUUGGUAUGGAACAAAUUAUGCCUCUGAUUUUGCUCAGCUUGUGUAACCUGCACACUCAAAACACGUUGAGCAACUAAACAAUCAUACCUGUCAGCAUCUUCAGGAGCCAUGUAUUGCGUCUCAUGAUCAGAAUCGUCUCCACCGUGUUCGUCACGUGUAAUAAGAGCCAAAGUCUCCUCAUCAUAGUCACUAGCGGACUCAUACCCACCAUCCUCAGUAAUAAUCAUCACACUCUUAGAUGGGCAUUCUCUCGCAUAAUGACCUCCACCCUUGCAACAUCGACAAAUAAUAUCAUGUGUUUGCCCUGUUGAUGCCAUGGAUGAAGAAGAGCUCUUUGCAGGCCCAGAACGUGUGCUCUUGGCAGAUAGUGGUGAUUGUGCCAGCUUUAUUGUAUCACAGUUGGAGGUGGCAGCCGACGGAGGUGCCGGUGUAGCAGAACGUGUGGAAGUAGAUGAUGCACGUGGUGUCCAGGAUGAAGGUCAACCUACAGAAAAGUUAGUAUGCGCCAAUGCCUGUCGACCCUGCACUUCACGUUCAGCUUUACAAGCAAGAUGGAAUAAAUGAGUGAUAUUAGUAUACUCCUAUACUCUAGAAUGGUCUGAAUCUCUCUAUUUAAUCCACCCAUAAAACGUGCAAGCAUAGCUUCAUUCUCCUCAACAAUACCACAUCUAAUCAUGCCAGUUUGCAAUUCCUAAUAAUAUUCUUCUACAGAAUUUUUUCCUUGUCUUAAUCGCUGCAAUUUUUGAAGUAAUUCACGUUGAUAAUAUGGUGGAACCCAACGAGUAUGCAUAGCUGUUUUCAAAGCAUCCCAAGUAGCUGGAAUAGGAUAUAAUCUACAAUGCUUAGACUACCAAACACAUGCAAAACUAGUGAAUGCACAAACAGCAGCAGGAACACAUCUCUCCUCAGGAUAUUGUAAACAUGUAAAUCGUUGUUCAGUUUCUAACUCCCAAGUAAGAUAUGUAUCAGGAACAUAUCUACCCUCAAAUGGUGGAAUAUUCAAUUUUAAUUUAGGGAGAUGGUCAUGAUCUCAUACCUGAGGGUGAGCCCUACCAUUGCCAUUAUUUGCAUGUGGACGACCUGGUGGUUGCUGUGCUGGUGGUGGCACAUAGUUCUGAUUUUGAUCAACCUCAUCCUCGUAAUAUCCCACAUAAUCAUCCUCCUCCACAUCAGCAGUAGGAGCCACAAAAGUAUCAACAGCAGCACCAGCAGUUUGGCCCGGCUGAAGAGGGACACGGCUCGCUCGGCGGAGGGCUGUUUCCCGACGUGGAGGUAGUCAGUGUUGUUGCUGUUGUUGCAGAGGAGCGGCAGGAGCAGCCGGUGGUGGUGGUGGAAAAUGCGAAAGCAAUUCAGCAAACUUGUUAUCGAGCUUUGUUUCAAACGUCUUCUCCAUGCCAUCUAUCUUCUCCAUGGCCUCUUCAAAUCUGUUUAGCACAUCUUGCACCUGUCCACUCAUCAUUUGCUGAAACUUAUCAUGAAGCUCCUUGUUCGUCAAGUUCUCCCAGUCAGUCUCGUCGGCUUGUGAUCCUGGCAUGGUUAGCAGCAAUAGAAACACACAAGAAUAUGAUCCUAUAGACUACUAACAAGUAGUGGUGGUGGCGGGUGUCACAAAUCCGUCAAGCAAAUCUCAAAUUCUUACCAGUUCUUACCCAGCAGCAGGCGGUGAUCGGCAACCGUUGUAGUCAAAACUCCCAAAAGCUUGGAUAGAGCGAUUGCCAGGGAGAGUCAAACACACGACGUAGAUGUAUGUGGAGCUGGGAAGGCUUAUAGUAUGGUAGCAAAAAGGGUCAGCAAUAAUCAAUUCAGAGAUGCAAAGUUGAAUAAAUGCUCAACGACGGUACUGUGCUGGUCCUACGCUAGACCGUGCUAGAGACGCGAGCCUAGAACACUAACAAAAUCACGGCGCUGCAUGUGAACAAGGGAAAAGCACACUCUAGAAAAAAAAUUCGCUCUUUUUUUUGCGCUCCUUUUUUUGCGCUCCUCUUUUUUUUGUGAAAAAUCACUAUAAUGGAGAGUGUCUCAAAACUCUUCCCUCAUCAAACUGAUAGGAUGGGCACGAAAUUUUUUUUGAUUUUUUUUUCCGGAAAUCAGGGCAGCGAUGACGAAAAAGUGCGACAAAAAAUCACUAUGAUGGCACAUGGCUCAAAAGACUCAGAAAAGCCUAAAAAUAGGAUAGGGAAAAAAUAUUUUUGGUCGCCGAAAUUUUGGCCUAAAAACUGCCCGGGGGUCUCCAGACUCUUUUUUUUUCUGAGAUCUACGCAGGCAAGGAAACAGGAAUCGGAAUUUAGAUUGAUCUCAAAAACAAACCUAAUAUGAGAAGAACUCGGAUUGGUGGUGGAUAUAUGGUUGUGGUAUAUGGCAGCGGUGGUGGUAUAUGGAUACAGAUUGGUGGUGGUAUGUGGAUACGGAUUGGUGGUGAUAUAUGGAUACGGAUUCAGAGCGGUGGCGGAUAAGCAAUGGUGGUAGAUGGCAAGGCGAUGAUGAUGGUGCGGCGGCGGCGUGACAACUUAUGACCAGAACUCAAAACUCUAAAAGACUAGACUCUAAGAGCAACAACUUGACACGAGAUGCAACCGCAAAUUCAACAAAGCAAAAACCCUAAAAAGAUUAUGCAAAGGCUCAGAUUGGUUCGGAUAUGAUGAACUAACCCUAAUUUUUUGUUUGUGGCUUUUUCGUGGACUGUAGGUAUGAAGAACAGACUCGAUCUAAUCUACGAAAAACUGUAAAAUCUCACCGAGCAACCUGGAAAUCUGAUACCACUUGAUAGAGGCAAACGUGUCCCGAUGUUUCAAUGAGAUGGUGGCUAUCAUUUCUGUGGGAGUCGACCUUGACGAUCCGACUACGAACGUGCGAGACGUCGCGCCUUAGCAAUCGCUAAACCAACUUCCGAGGGGUUAUUGACCACACCGGAGCACGAUCAACCUAACCACGAGGGUCUGUUUCCAGAAAGCAAACGAAGAACAAGCAAGAAACUGAGAUUGCAAUCUGGAUAUUGCGAAUAUAGGAUGAAAGCUUUAUUGAUCAAGGUGGGGUUCUGUGACGUCUUGGUCUGGUCGUUGGACAGAAACGAAGUACGCGAAGUUGCAGCUAUGGCGAACUUUUAAUCUAAACAAAACCCAAAGUCUAAACGACUCCCUAAGGGCUGUAUAUAUGGAGGAAGAGGGUGGAAUUUCGUGGCCCUUGAGGAUAGGGUCCGAAACCAACCCUAACUCUUGUUUCCCCACACAUACGGACUCUGAAAAUAGCCUAUACUUAAGUAUUUCGAAAUUACAUGGGCCUGGCCCAAUAAUAAGGUGACGUAGCACCUAGAAUAGCCUAUGGACGAAUAUUAUGAAGUGGCAUCUUGUAUAUUUCGUCCAAGGCUUCAUGCACUCCUUAUGGUGGCUUCAAAGUCCUGAAAUCAUCAUUUGUAACUCAGUUCUUCAUCCUUCUCCAAGCUAGGCCCUUCAUUUGUAAGCAAAACAAAUGUAUCCAAUUUAGGCAGCAUCAUAUUCUCAUGAACAUUAGAAUCAUUACCAAGAAACGAAAGUACCUGGUAAUUUAAUUGGCGUGCGCGAGCUCUAGUAAUUGGUCUAGUAUAUGUAACAGUAGGGGAUGUGGAAGUAACAAUGGUAUUGAUGUCCUCAUCAGAGAACCUCCGGCCUGCCUGGACCUUCUGGCCCCCGGAUGCCAGCACAUCUCCACCGCGCCAACUCUCUGCUUAGGCCAGACCCUCCCCGGAACCUCCGGCACCCGGAACUUCCAGCCUAGCCCGGAACUUCCGGCCCUGCCUGCGCGCAGCCACUUGGGCCGAGGCCUGUGUACCCUUUCGUCACCUAGACUAUAUAUACUUUAUCCCGUACGACUUUCUAGGGUUAGCGUUGGUUUAACUCAUACUCAGAGAUAGAGCUUGGCUCAUCCACAUCGGAUCUACUCCUCGUGAGAGACCGCGGCCCCUCUUCGGAGAAGAUCCACUUGGAUUCAAGACCUCCUCGCGGAGAAGAUCCCCCCGUGGAUUCAAGACCUCCUCACGGAGAAGAACCGGCUACCCUUUUAUAUCGUCCUUAGUUGUCCGUGGAUUCGUGUAUCAUUCUAUGUGCCCAAGGAUCUAGCACAUGUGUGACUUGCUCUUGUUAGUUUGAGUGUUCCUCUUGUAUUUUCCCUUGUGUUUUCCCUCGUUUCCCUACUCGUGUUUUUCGCGUUCUUCGCGGGAUCCGCUCCUUUCGUGAAAGAUCGGGUGAUUAGGGUUCCAACCUACAUCAUCUUGGUAUCUAGAGCAAGGUUGAUCACGAUUUCGGAGCCUCCCCGUUGUGUUUCUAGCCUAAUUUUGUUGUUUUUCGUCCUAAUGAGAAAAUCCCCACCAAAAAUAGCCCCAAAUUUUUUUUGUGAUUUGUUCGUGUGUUGAGAUUUUGUUGCUUUUGAUCCGUGAAUUUUGUGUGUGGCUCGUAGAUCUAGCCUCCCCACCCUUCUUUUCCUCCAAUUUCUUCUUUUUCCCCUUCGGAUUUGGGCUUUUUCCCCAAGUUUUUCCGCCCAAAUCCAUGAUCCCAAAGUCUCUGUUCUUGGCAGAAUCCCGGCCACCGGAACUUCCGGUCCAGCCCCGACAUUCCAGCCCCCGGACCUUCCGGCCUUCCCAGGAACCUCUGGACCCCGGACCCUCCGUCUUGCCCGGAACUUCCGGCUUCGACAGAAAGUUCGCACUACUUCCACAACUCCGCCCAAAUUCCACUAACUUUUGUUUCGGUGCUCACCAUAUACCAUAUAUACUUCUGCAUACCUCCACCACUUCCGCAUAACUCACCAUCUUUGGACCGUUUUACUCUCCAACACAAUUGCACUUUGAGGUUUGAGAAUUUGAGUUGCGGUACUGUAUCCUUUUUUGUUUCGGCUAUCUAGGUACGGUUCGACAUCAACAUCACCGCCGCACAUCUUCGCCAUGGACGCGUCAUCAACAACGACCACCAAGACUACGACUUGGUAUUCGUGCCACCAUUUUGACACCAUUCCGGAAGCAAGACCGGUAACCUCAUCUUGGUAUUGGACAUAUCACUCUUGCCACUACAUUGAUAGCCAUCAUAGCCUUACUCCUUUGCGUUGCUUACCCAUCGAGACUAGCCAUUGAGUAUUGCCGACAACGAGACUUGUGCACAUUAGUGAUCAUACUUCCCAUAGCAUACAUACAUCAUUGUUGCCUAUAUUGGUAUCAUCUCUUGUGUCACAAAGUUGUCAUCGCAUACUCGCUUGCUAUCAUGGUUCGUCAAGCAUUGCAUGAGAAAAGAGCUCAAACAUCAAAGAGCCAACCAAGCUUUUAAGCAAAGAGGAAAGAUAAGAAAAGAGCUUUUAAGCAAGAACCAUAGCAUCAUACAACAUUACGAUUGUCAUACUCGAUCAUCUUGGAUCAUAUCAUAGCAGCACCUUGCAUUCAAAAUAUUUGGGAUAGAAGUCGUCGCAUUUUUUCUAAAUAGGUUGUGCACCAGUUCUUGUAUCCACCUAUCGUGCAAUCGUGCUAGCCUCUCUCUAGUGUUGUGCAACAAGAGCAUUUUUGUGGAUUCCACAUUUUGGAUCACCCUUGGUUGCACAACCCCACUUAUCUUUUUGCGUGUGUGUUUCUGUGUACCUUAUAUGCUUGGUCUACUUGUUACAUUGCAUCUUGCGAAUCUUUUCCAACAUUAUUGAAGCUCACUUACAAUUGCAUCAAAUUUUGUGCCACGAUCCUAACCAAGCUCCACCAAAAGCUUUUACUUGUGUAGGUCUGAGAAACCGACAAGAACUCGUACCAAUUGUGCCAUUUCCUUGUCCUACAUUGGAGUGAUCCUCGAUCCACUUUCAACUUCAGUCAAGGUACAUUUGGUACUCGUUCCUCUCUUUCUACCACUCACAUUUGUCUUGGAAUGAUGGAUAGGCCAAGUACUUCUACCAACCCACUCUUCAUGGAGCAAGACGACGACAUGAACUCCUUCGUCACCAAGAGUCAUCUCUUUGGUGCACAACGUGCUUUGCAUCAAGAGCAACAAACUAUGAGUGAACGCAUCGACAACCUUGCCACCGACUUGCGACUUUCCGAGCAACGUACAAGGGACUACUUCGACCACAAGCUCGACGAUCACAAGCAAGAGAAUGACGCAAGGAUGGACGAGAUUCGCGCUUUGUUGCUCAACCGCUCUUCUUCCACUUCAAGAAGGAGUCGUUCAAGUCGCCAUUCCGACUCAAGUACACCGACAUCGAACACUCUUCGUCGAGCCGCGCGCACCGACCGUCAAGCAAACCUCAAUCCGCUUUGGGAUACCGACCCUCAAGAGCGCCGACAACGUCAAGCCGAAGAAGCCUUUGCGCUGGCUCGCAAACGACAACAACAACGCCAACAUGAAGAGGAAGAACGCGCGCGUCUACACCAAAAUGCACAUGAUACCGAGGCUCAACGCCAAGCACAACAACUCCAUGAUGCUCAAGCACUUGAGGUGCAACAAGCUCUACACGAUGCGAGUCGAGCCGUUGCUGACCGAGGCCGACAAGCCCGUGAAGAAGAGGAAGCACUUCGCGAAGAAAUUCACGAGCGAAAAUUUCAAGCUCGCAUGCAUCAUCUAGUGCCACCUCGAGCUCGACGCGUUCCUCCACAAGCUCGCCAACACCACCAAGUUCAUCGAGAGGAGGAAGACAAUGGAAAUCUUCCGCGACAUGAUCAACACGAGGUUGACAACCCUCCGCGCCAAGAGCACCACGAGUUGGACAAUCAUCUUCAACAUGGGCGUCAUCAUCCCCGACCCCAACACAAUGAAGAGCAACGCUACGGCAAGCUCAAGUUCACCAUGCCCAAGUUCAACGGAAGCAACGAUCCCGAAGAGUACCUUUCAUAGGCAUUGAAAGUUGACAAGAUUUUCCGUUUGCACAAUUAUGACGAAGAGAAGAUGAUCGCAAUGGCAUCCCUUGAGUUCCAAGACUAUGUGCUUAUUUGGUGGGAACAAGUCAUUGAGCGCCGAGAGGCAAGAGGUGAACCACCCAUCACUACUUGGGUGCAAAUCAAGGAUGUCAUGAGAGCACGCUUCGUUCCUACCUACUACAACCGCGAUCUCUUCAAGAAACUCCAACAACUCAAGCAAGGAACCAAGAGCGUUGAAGAGUACUACAAGGAGAUGGAGAUUGCCAUGAUACGAUCCAAUGUCGCGGAAGAUGAUGAGCAAACAAUGGCACGUUUCUUGAAUGGACUCAAUCAUCCUAUCAAGAAGAUCGCCGACUUCCAACCAUACUCAAAUCUCAUCGAGCUAGUGCACAAAGCUACCAAAGCGGAACGCCAAGUGCAAGAUGAUUUCAAGAAUGCCAAGUUCUCAUCCAAGUCCUACGACUUCUCCAAUAACCAAGCUUCAAUGACUACAAGACCUUCUACUUCCAACAUUGACAGGUCGACUUCCAAGAAAGCUUCGCCAACUGCAAGCAACCAUACUACGGGCAACUUCAAGCCGAGAGCUUCAUCAUCAUCAACCCCAACCGAUGAGAACAUCAAGACGAGUUCCUUCAAGUGUUUCACUUGCGGAGGCCGAGGCCUCAAGUCCUACGAGUGCACCAACAAGCGAACCAUGGUCUUCAACGACGAUGGCACUUAUGACUCCAUGAGCAACGGCGAAAUGGGAGCCCUCGAGCAAGACGCCAUGCAACGCCAAGUGAACAAUGAAUAAGAACAAGUCUUUUGUGAUGAAGACUCAAGUCCCGCACUUGUUGUCUCCAAAGUCUUGACUCUCCAACAUCACCAAGAAGAAGACCAACGAUGCCACAUAUUCCACACCAAGGCUAGCAUCAAUGGACGAUCCACCAAGGUCAUCAUCGAUGGAGGUUGUUGUCAUAAUCUCGCAAGUGAAGAACUUUGCUCCAAGCUCUAAUUUCCCAAGACGAAGCAUCCACAUCCAUACAAAGUGCAAUGGCUUAGUGAUUCCGGCACUAUCCAAGUCAAGCACCAAGUACAAGUCUCCUUCAAGAUCAGCGCCUACGAAGACACCUUGGAGUGCGACAUCGUUCCAAUGACCGUUUGUCAUCUUCUCCUUGGACGACCAUGGCAAUUCGAUAGAGGAGUCGUCCACAACGGCCGAACGAACCACUACAUCUUCAAGAUGAAGGGCAAGGAGUACAUCCUCCGUCCAAUGUCGCCAAGUCAAGUGAUCGCCGACAAGCAAGCCACCCAUCAUGGAGAUCAUAGUGAGAGAGCGAGCCACCAAAACAAGAGUGGGCGCCACAAGCCAAAAUCGAGUGCCUCCACGAUGAGCGAAAACAAGAACCUAGUUCUAUUUGCCACCAAACGUGAGAUGAGAGAAGUGUGUGAGAACCCAUCUAGUGUCCUACACUACGUCCUCGUGUGCAAGGACAAUGCACCACAAACUAACACCUCUCACACUCUUCCUCUAGUGUUGUCUUCUCUUUUGCAGGAAUUUCAAGAUGUUUUCCCCGAUGAGCUACCUCCGGGACUACCUCCACUUCGAGGCAUUGAGCACCACUUCCAAACAAAGCUCCCUACCGCGUCAACCCCGACGAAACAAAAGAAAUACAAAGGCAAGUAAAGCAUCUCAUAGACCAUGGACAUGUGCGUGAAAGUUUGAGCCCUUGUGUCGUUCCGGUCAAUCUUGUGCCAAAACGUGAUGGUAGUUUUCGCAUGUGCUCCGAUUGUAGACCUAUCAAUGCUAUCACCGUUCGCUAUAGGUAUCCCAUACCAUGCCUAGAUGCUAUGCUUGAUGAGCUUAGCGGUGCCACUAUAUUUUCUAAAAUUGAUCUUAAAAGUGGUUACUAUCAAAUCCGCAUACAAGAGGGUGAUGAAUGGAAAACCGCCUUCGAAACCAAGUUUGGUUUGUAUGAGUGGUUAGUCAUGCCUAUGGGUCUUUCGGAAGCGCCGAGCACUUUUAUGCGCCUUAUGAAUCAUGUAUUUCGCCCUUACAUUGGUAUAUUUGUUGUGGUUUACUUUGAUGACAUUCAUGUGUUUAACAAAUCUAUUAUAGAGCAUGUCACCCAUGUCCGCACCGUUUUGCAAACUCUUAGAAAAGAGCGACUCUAUGCUAAUAUGGAGAAAUGCCUUUUUGGUGUUGAUAAGCUCGUUUUCUUGGGUUUUGUUGUUUCUGCUAAGGGUGUUCAUGUUGAUGAGUCCAAGAUAAAUGCUAUUAAGACUUGGCCGCAACCAACCAACUUGCAUCAAGUGCGUAGUUUUCUUGGCCUUGCGGGUUUCUAUCGUCGCUUUGUAAAGGAUUUUAGCACCAUUGCUUCGCCUUUGCAAGCUUUGAGCAAGAAGAAUGCGCCUUUUGUUUGGGGACCAUCCCAAGAUACCGCAUUCAAUGAGCUUAAGAAUUUGCUUACUCAUGCUCCCGUCCUUGCUUUACCCAACUUCGAGAUGCCUUUUGAAAUUCAUUGCGAUGCUAGUGGUAAUGGAAUAGGAGGUGUGUUAACGCAAGAGAAGCGCCCCGUAGCUUACUUUAGUCAGAAACUUUCCGGACCGCAACUCAAUUAUCCCAUCUAUGACAAAGAGCUAUAUGCUUUAGUCCGCGUUUUGCAUGAAUGGGAACACUACCUUCGUCCCCAUGAGUUUAUCAUUCAUACCGAUCAUGAGACUCUCAAGUAUCUUACGGGACAAACUAAGUUGAACAAGCGUCAUGCUAAAUGGAGUGAAUUUAUUGAGUCUUUUCCAUAUGUCAUCAAGUACAUCAAGGGUAAAGAAAACAUAGUAGCGGAUGCUCUUUCUUGCAUUUGCAUGCUUGUCACGCAACUUGAGUUAGAUGUCAUUGGCUUCAAGCAUAUCAAGGACUUAUAUGAGCAUGAUGCAACUUUUGCCAUUCCUUAUGUCAAGUGUUUGUCGAAUACAUCUUCGGAACGCUAUUGCAUCAAAGAUGGCUACCUUAUGAGAGCUAACAAACUUUUCAUUCCCGCGUCCUUUCUUCGCUUGUUGCUUUUGCAGGAAUCCCAUGGAGGAGGCUUAAUGGGACAUUUCGGACGUGACAAGACGUUCGCCACGCUCUCGAAAAGCUGCUUUUGGCCUAAGAUGUUUCGGGAUGUCAAUCGUUUCACCAACCGGUGUUCUACAUUUCGCAAAGCUAAGUCCAAAGCUCAAUCUCAUGGUCUCUAUAUGCCUUUACCAAUUCCCUACCAGCCUUGGGAAGACAUUAGCAUGGACUUUGUACUUGGUUUGCCUAGGACUCGCAAUGGGAAAGAUUCCAUAUUUGUCGCUGUGGACCGUUUCUCAAAAAUGGCACAUUUUAUUCCUUGCCACAAGAUAGACGAUGCUUCACAUGUUGCUAAUCUCUUUUGUAGGGAAAUUUUGCGUCUCCAUGGUGUGCCAAAAACCAUCCUCUCGGACCGCGAUGUCAAGUUCCUUAGCUACUUUUGGAAGACCCUAUGCGCCAUGCUCGGAAUCAAGCUACUCUUCUCCACGGUGUACCAUCCUCAACCGACGGCCAAACGGAGGUGACAAACCGCACACUCUCCGCUCUACUUUGAGUAGUCAUCAAGAAGAACAUCAAGGAGUGGGAGGAGUGUCUACCCAUCGCCGAGUUCGCCUACAACCUAUCAAGACACUCAACAACCGGCACGUCCCCUUUCGAGGUCGUCUACGGAUUCAACCCUUUGUCACCAUUGGAUAUUCUACCUCUACCACUCCAAGAGCGAAUCAAUUUGGACGCAAGUGCAAGAGUGACCCAUAUCAAGAAUAUGCAUGAAGAUAUAAGAAACACCAUCGAGCGCCAAGUACAACACCUUGCGACCAAGCUCAACGUCAACAAGCAACCUAUGGUCUUCAACAUUGGUGAUCUCGUGUGGCUACACCUUCGCAAGGAGCGCUUUCCACAAGAACGCAAGUCUAAGCUUCGACCACGAGCAGAUGGACCCUUCAAGGUGCUCGCACACUACAACGACAACGCUUACAAGAUCGACCUCCCGCGCGACAAGUACAACGUGAGCGACAUCUUCAACAUCAAAGAUCUCUCUCCCUUCGAUGGUGAUGUAGAACUCGAUCCGAGGACGGAUCUUCCCCAAGGGAGGGGAGAUGACGCGGAGUAUCCCACGACCAUCCCCAUGGAUGCCACCUCAACUUUCCAAGCUCCAAGUGGACCAAUGACAAGGGCUAGGGCACGUGCUAUUCAAUCCGAGGUGACAUCACUCCUACUUGAGUUUCCCCCCUCUUCAAGUGAGACAUGGCUACUGCCUAAGUCCGAGAUACUAUGUGUCAUCAGGUACAACGCUCAACACUCAGAGCCGGGGAUUGUAGAAGAAGAGACAGGUGUCAACACUCUGGACAGCCCAGAACUUUCGGCUCCCGGAGCUUCUGGCUGACCCGGAGCUUCCGGCCACCGAGGACUUCGACCAGCCCAGGUGUGCCAACUCUCGGGUUAGCUCGGACCCCGUCUCGGACCUUCCGGCCCCUGAAUGCCAGCACAUCUCCACCGCGCCAACUCUCUGGUUAGGCCGGACCCUCCCCAGAACCUCCGGUGCCCGGAACUUCCGGCCUAGCCCGGAACUUCCAGCCCUGCCUGCGCGCAGCCACUUGGGCCGAGGCCCAUGUACCCUUUCGUCACCUAGACUAUAUAUACUCUAUCCCAUACGACUUUCUAGGGUUAGCGUUGGUUUAGCUCAUACUUAGAGAUAGAGCUUCGCUCAUACACAUCGGAUCUACUCCUCGUGAGAGACCGCAUCCUCUUCAGAGAAGAUCCCUUUGGAUUCAAGCCCCCUUUCUAAGGGAAGAUCCCCCCGUGGAUUCAAGAUCUCCUCACGGAGAAGACCGGCUACCUUUCUAUCGUCCUUAGUUGUCUGUGGAUUCGUGUAUCGUUCUAUGUACCCGAGGAUCUAGCACAUGUGUGACUUGUUCUUGUUAGUUUGAGUGUUCCUCUUGUGUUUCCCCUUGUGUUUUCCCUCGUUUCCCUCCUCGUGUUCUUCGCGUUCUUCACGGGUGAUUAGGACAUCAAUACCAUUGUUACACCUACAGCCCCUGCUGAUGUACAUACUGGACCAAUUACUAGAGCUCGCGCACGCCAAUUGAAUUAUCAGGUACUUUCGUUUCUUGGUAACGAUUCUAAUGUUCAUGUGAAUAUGAUGCUGCCUAAGUUGGAUACAUUUGUUUUGCUUAAAAAUGAAGGGCCUAGCUUGGACAAGAAAGAUGAACCUUGGAGCAAGUUCAAGCAUGGAGAUGAUGGCAUGCGCAAGGGGAACAAGAACAGAGUUACAAGUGAUGAUUCCAGGACUCUGAAGCCACCAUAAUGAGUGCAUGAAGCAUGGGAUGAAAUAUACAAGAUGCCACUUCAUAAAUUUUGUCCAGAGGCUAUUCUAGGUGCUGCGUCACCUUAUUAUUGGGCCAGGCCCAUGUAUUUUCGAAAUACUUAAGUAUAGGUGGAAAUUUGACCCGCUUCCAGCUGAAUCGGUGGAAAUUUGUCUUUUUCACGAGAGGUGGAUCAAAAAAAUUUACACGCAACCAUUUUGUCAAUUGUGCAUUAAAUAUGGCCUAGUAUUUUAUAAAAAUGAAUUGGUCCAAUUUUGCAAUAAUUAUUUGGUAGUUCCUUCACAAAACAUCCUCCUUUUGGGCACUCGGAAAAUGGAAAAUGGUUUUUUCGUCCAACGAAAAUGAAAACUUCCUUAGGCAACAUUGUUUGCCAUUCCAAUAUGCACCCUUGUGCACAAUAUGAGAUCAUUUGAACAAACUAUGCCAUGAAUGUGGCCAUAAGAUUGAUCAUUUGGCUUGAAAGCCAUUGACCUUCACACAUGAUAGAUCAUUUCUGAGAACACUUUUUUAAAAUAAUUAUCAUAUUACAAGUUUAUUAUUUUUCCCGGAAACUUAAUCACAUAUAAUGAGACAAUGCGAAGGUUUUCCAAUUUUUUGAUUUUUUUUGAAUUUUUUAUGCCCGUUUCGAAAUGUGGUCAAAACGGCGGGCUUGACCGUUCCUAGGUAGCGGUUGAAUCUUGGAAUUUUUUUGGUGUUUCUCUGAUUAAAUAGAUACUUAUGUACCUAUAAAUGAUUUUUGGAAAAAAUAAAGAGCAAACUACGAGGUAGCUACAGUUCAAAUUUGACCCGCUUCCAGCUGAAUUGGCGGAAAUUUGUCUUUUUCACGAGAGGUGGAUCGAAACUUUUUACACCCAACCAUUUUGUCAAUUGUGCAUUAAAUAUGUCCUAGUAUUUUAAAAAAUUAUUUGGUCCAAUUUUGCAACAAUUAUUUUGGAGGUCCUUCACAAAAAACCUCCUUUUGGGCACUCGAAAAAUGGAAAAUGGUUUUUUCGUCCAAAGAAAAUGAAAACUUCCUUAGGCAACAUUGUUUGCCAUUCCAAUAUGCACCCUUGUGCACAAUAUUAUAUCAUUUGAACAAACUAUGCCAUGAAUGUGGCCAUAAGAUUGAUCAUUUGGCUUGAAAGCCAUUGAUCUCCACACGUGAUAGCUCGUUUCUGAGAACACUUUUUUAAAAUAUUUGCCGUAUUACAACUUAAUUAUUUUUCGUGGUAACUUGGUCACAUAUGAUGACGCAAUGUGAAGGUUUUCCAAUUUUUUGAUUUUUUUGAAUUUUUUAUGCCCGUUUCAAAAUGCGGUCAAAACGGCGGGAAUGACCGUUCCUAGCUAGUGGUUGAAUCUUGGAAAACUUUUGGUGUUUCUCUGAUUAAAUAGAUAGUUAAGUACCUAAAAAUGAUUUUUGGAAAGAAUAAAGAGCAAACUAUGAGGCAGCUGCUGUUCAAAUUUGACCCGGUUCCAGCUGAAUCAGAAAAAAUGUCUUUUUCACGAAUGGUGGAUCAAAGUUUUUGACACCCAACCAUUUGGUCAAUUCUGCAUUAAAUAUGGCCUAAUAUUUUAGAAAAAUUAUUUGGUCCAAUUUUGCAACAAAUAUAUGGUAGCUCCUUCACAAAAAAGACUCAUUUUGGGCACUCGAAAAAUGGAAAUUGUUUUUUUUUCAGAAGAGGUGGAUCAAAAGCUUUUGACAUGCAACUAUUUGGUCAAUUUUACAUAAAAUAUGGUCUAAUAUUUUAUAAAAAAUGGAGUGGUGCUAUUUUGGAACAAAUAUUUGGUAGGUUCUUAAAAAAAGCAUUUAUGCACGCGGAAAAUAGAAAAAUAUUAUUUAUGUAAUAAAAAUUAAAGCUCUAUUUGGCAACAUUGUUUGCCAUUUCAAUAUGCACACUUAUGCAAAUACGAGAUCAUUUUGACGAACUAUGCCAUCGUUAUGUUUUUAAAAAGAAGGAGAGAUUUGAGUCCAAUUUUUUGAAAUUCAAGUGCGAGACAGCCGACCAAUGAGACGUGAGGAAUCACCUUCACGCGGAUCAUCUGAUUGGACGCAAUAUGAGCCGUCUAUCGCGCACCCAUCCAACGGUGGAGCUUCUCCCGAGUAACAAAAACCCUAACCCACCCACCCACCCUCCUCGAUACCCGCCGCCGCCACCCCCCACCCACCCUCCUCGAUCCUGACGCACCCAUUCUCUGUGCUCCCUCCCUCCCUCCCGAUGCGGCCGCUCUCUCUCCCCCGACGCGCCGCCGUCCGCACCUCCCGACGCGCCGCCGUCCUCCGCCUUCCCCUGCAUUCCGCUCAGCCACCGCCCUCUCCUCCUCCCCCCACCCUCCUCCAUGGUGAAUCCACCUCCAGAUCGAGAAGGGGAGGCAGCAUACGUCGCAUCCACGCACCAGAUCGAGCAGCGGCGCCCCCAGAUCGAUCCAUCUCCAUCGUCCUCAUGGUUGACGCCCAUGUCCUCCUCAAGGAUAGCCGUCUCCGUGCUCCACCACCAUCCUUUCCCUCCUCCCUCACCGCAUCUCACAUGGCGCUGGGAUCUUCCAGAUCGAGCGCCGGCAGGGUAGGCGCCUCCGCCGCCCAAGUCCAAAACCCCGCCUCCGCCGCCGGCAGGGAUCUUCCAGACCAGCGCAAGGUCUUCCGCGUCACUAACCACGCCGGGGUCGCGCUCGCCGGCCUCACCACCAUCUUCCUCCACGAGCUGCAGCCCAUCCUCGCCAACCACCUGCAGACCUAGACCGCCACCACCGGCAACGCAUGUGUCGUGGCCUGCGGUGCCGCCGCUGCCGAGGACCACCUCUUCAAGGUACGCACACAACGCGCCCACCAUCAUUGCCAUUUCAAAGAGACCAUAUGCAUCAGUCAGUGUGGACACAUCUGUAAUUUCGAGUGUCUGAACAUUGUUCCUGCUCUAUGUCUGUCUAUCUCAGGGGUCGCAGGAGCAGCCGGGCCUGGUCACCAUUGCCAUGGAGGAGAUCCUCCGGUUCGUGGCGUCCGUCGGCGGCGCCGUCUGGGUGUCGUCGUACCAGGUGGUGCAGGACACCCACGUCUUUGAUCUGCUUGAUCUGCUUGAGCCGUCAUGGUUUUUAUCUGUCUUCCUUUGCAGGCUCAUGUCAAGUCAGUUGAGGAUUUCGCGCGGCUGGGCUGUUUCAAUGAGAACCAGGACAAGCAGCAGCCCGCCAAAGCUUCUUCCACCCAACACCAGCCCACUAAACUGACUAGUUUUUCAUCUCUUGUGUGAAACUUGUACCCUACUCGAAGAUGCCACCAUCAAGUUAAUAAUAACACUAAACUGGUAUAUGUAAUUAUAGCCAGACAAUUUAUCGCAUCGUACUAUAAAAAUGUGUAAUCAGUAAGCCUAAAAGCCGCUAAACUGGUAUAUUCAUCAUUGGAGUUCAUUGGAAUAUAAUAAGAAACAAAGAUGAAUCUAUUUCUGCUAUGUGCUGCCUUUGUGCAUAGAUGUAUCUUCAUGAGUCGCAAAACUCUUGACAUGCUUAUGCUAUAGUUGAUUUUCCUAGGUUGUAGUUUGUUCCAUAUCGUGUAAGGUUGUAUUGUAUAAUCUGCAUUAUAAGUGUGGUUUCUAAUGUGCUUAUGCUAGAUUAAUGCAUCAACCUGACAUGUUACAAACCUUGAGCCAGAACCUAUGGCAUCUCAUUUUAAAUGGUAAUCAUUGUUGUUAAAAUGCUACUGUUUGAUUUCAUACAAGUGUGUGCCCCCAACUGUUGUAUAGUUGUAUCCAUACUUCUGAGCAUAUUAUUGUCUAGCCUCUUUUGUGAUUAGUCCUCAUUUUUAAUGAAUUUACUGUUUAUCUAAGAUCAUUUGAAGUUUUGAGCUGGCACCUAGCUAGCCUCUUUUGUGAUUAGUCCUCAUUUUUAAUGUCAUCCACACUAUUUUUUUGUUAAUUUUGUUCCUUGUAUGAACAACCUUAUAAUUUUGGUGGAUGCACAUGUGGGUGGCAGGAGGGCUAGUUCAUGUAGCUUACUUCCUGUUUGUCAUUUUGGUGGCUUGCCAUUUUAUUUACAGCAUUGUGGAUGAUGCCAUUAUCCUAGUUUUCACAUUUAUAUUAGUCACUUAAACAAGGCUCGGUUAAGUUGAGUUGUUCUGCUGCUGAUGGCAAUACAAGCCAAUAGAUCUCACAUGCAAAAAUUCAACAGAUUUUGCUAGGUUAAUAUUGAGUUGGGGCAGCUGCCUGCAUAUGCAAAAAUUCAACAGAUUUACAGCAUUGUGGAUGAUGCCAUUAUCCUAGUAAUGAUGCAGAGAUACUUACUUGUGCAGGCAAAGGUACAUACUAUUGAUGCCAUUGAAUUGAUCAGUUGUCAUAUAUACAAGGAUGAAUAUAGCCGUUUAGUUAGUUUCCAUGAUUGGUUUAUUUGUGAUUCGUUCUAUCUCUGAUGGUUACCUUGCUUGUGUCUAAACCUGUAUGAUAAGCUAAUAUAUUUUCCAGAAGUGGCUUGGGAACCUCUUUGGUUCCGACUAGCCACCUAUUACGCAGCUAGUUCCAUGAGUAUUUAGUCUUCUGUCCCCUUUUCUGGUACUGAUUUGCCACAUAAUGUUCAUGAUGCAUCAUAUCUCAUGUUGAAGUACUUUGCUGUGAUGCUUUGUUUUGGGGUCAGUCAGUAGUACUCUGAACAAGAGCAUAAACAUAUAUGAUUGUGUUAUAUUAAUUGACUGCAUGCCCUCUUGGAUUCUAUUUUUGUCUGCUGCAUGUGUGCUGAUAGUUUUUGCAUAGUGUUGGCCGUGGGGUCUGGCCAGCGAUGUCGGGUCGUUGGUCGGACAGACGAUCAGAUUUAUUUUUGGUACAUUUCGUUGAUUGCUGGUACUGUGUUGACGCAACCUCGAAUGCCUUGCCCGUUACGCCGUUGCUCCUCUUUCUUAUCUGCUUUGAUUGUAGGUAUGCAGAGCCAAAUCGUGUGCCACCGUUGCCGAAGGGUAUUGGCCUACCUGUCAGGGCGCCCAGCGUGUGCAGCGCCAUGUGCCAAGCCAUCACCGCCGUGCCACCCCCAGCGCCAGGUACUGUGUGCAGCCUGAUUUCCUUUCAAUUGUUCUGCUCUUUUCGUGUUGGCAUCGCCUCACAACGUGUAUAACCAUCCUGAUGUUCAACUCUGGGAAUGUUGCUUUGGAAGUAGGAUGGAGUUUUGCAUUGUAUGAUGAAUGUUAUAAAAAUUAUGUAGAAACAUUUGUGAGGAGUACAUGCCAGAUAAAGAGUUACCAUGGGAUUCAAAUUUCACUCUUCCCACAUGCAUGUUUAGUAUGGUCAGAUUCUUUUCUAUGUUUACUUCAGUUCAAGCUUCUGCGCACCUAGGUUCACUAUCUGCUGCUUGUAGGAUACUUACUCCAUGGCUAAUAAUAUCAGCGCGAUGGAUAAAUCUUAUGUUGCACCCUUUCAUUUGUUCUCAAGAGGCCAAGUGGAUUUCUGCAAAAAGCAUAGAGAAGUAUUGUAAAUUCAUAGGAAAUAACAAAAUUGUUUAAAGUUUAUUUGGGUUGGAUCUGUAUAUACACUAUUUUCUUAAAACACAAACCUAUACAUUCACAGCUGAAUAGAUGAUACAUUUUUUUGGAUCUGUACAUGCAAUUUUUUGCAUUGGAUUGGUGGUUAGUUUUAUGUACCUUUGAAUUAUAACAGAAUAGCAUUAGUAGUGCUCUGAUUUAGUUCUCAUCAAAAUCAACAGCCCUCUCUUGUGUUCCUGUUAUGAGAAUUGUUCCUUCAAGGAUAUGCCAAAAUGUGUACACUCAAAUCUCUAAUGAUGUUUGUCUUUGUGUUCAGGAGCUCCAGUUCUACAAAAUUUGAAGUUCGAAACCAUAUAGCUCUACUCAGCAAAGAGUCGUCUCUUCUAUUUGAUUUUAAUAGAAUGUAAAUAUUGUAAUAUUGUAAUAGUAGGCAUAUCUGGGUUGUAAUAACUAUAUACAGAUUGUAGUAGACUUAGUUUUAUUUGAUGAACUACGUUUGUACUGUUCUGUUUGAAAUAUUGAUUAUGUAAGUAAUUUGAAAAACGUGUGGAAUGGAAACCUAACUUGUGGGAUUCACUUAUGAAAAUAAUCUAAGCAGUUUUGAAUUUUCUGUCAAGUGGGCCCAAUGUGUGAGAAGAUGACAAGUGGGACCAGCUCCAAAAUAUAAUGGCCCAAACAAUGUUAAAAGACCCUGGCCCAGAAAUAAAUAAAAGGCUGAAAUGGGCUAGGCCCGUGUAACUUACAGAAAAAAAUAAAUACUAAAAAGGCUGAAUUAAUGGGCUCGGCCCAUAUAAACACCGAAUUGGACCGGGCUGAAUCUUGUGCCACAUCAGAUUGCCACGCUGGAUGCCUACGUGGCCUGGGGAGGUUGCUAGUGACCAAAAUGCCACAGUAGACAUAUUUUGGUCAUAAACGUCUACGACCAUUCCAGAAGAAAGGUUGCUAUAGUCAGUUUAUGACGGCCAGCUUUUGACCUUAUGUUUUUGGUCACAAAAAGGUCACAAAUGGAAAUUUUUGACCAUUCAGUGACCAAUAGUGGUGGUCACAAGUUGACAUAUUUCUUCUAGUGCUUAAGUAUAGGCUGUUUUUAGAGUCCGUAUGAGUGGGGAAACAAGAGUUAGGGUUUGUUUCGGACCCCUCCACCAAGGGCCACGAAAUUCCCCCUCUCUCCUCCAUAUAUACAGCCCUUAGGGCAUCGUUUAGACUUUGGGUUUUGUUUAGAUUAAAAGUUUACCAUAGCUGCAACUUCGCGUACUUCGUUUGUGUCCAACGACCAGACCAAGACGUCACAAAACCCCACCUUGAUCAAUAAAGCUUUCAUCUUAUAUUCGCAAUAUCCAGAUUGCAAUCUCAGUUUCUUGCUUGUUCUUCGUUUGCCUACAGGAAACAGACCUUCGUGGUCAGGUUGAUCGUGCUCCGGCGUGGUCAAUAACCUCUCGGAGUUGGUUUAGCGAUUGCUAAGGCGCGACGUCCUCGCACGUUCGUAGUCGGAUCGUCAAAGUCGACUUCCUCCAAAACGAUAGCCACCAUCUCAUCAAAAGACGGGACACCUUUGCCCCUAUCAGCGGGAUCCGCUGCUUUCGUGAAAGAUCGGGCGAUUAGGGUUCCACCCUACAUCAACUUGAUAGAGGCGAGGGUGUCCCGAUCUUUAAAUGAGAUGAUAACUAUCGAUUUGGUGGAGACGACUUUGACGAUACGACUACAAACGUGCACGACGUUCCGCCUUAGCAAUCGCUAAACCAAUCUCCUGAGGUUACUGACAAUGCCGGAAGCACGGUCAGCCUGACCACGAAGGUCUAUUCCUGCAAGCAAUCGAAGAACGAGCAAGAAUAUGAUAAAGCAAUCUGAAUAUUGCAAAUAUAUAUGAAGUAUUGAUAAUGGUGGGGAUCCGUAAGCGGUCUUGGUCUGUUCGUUGGACACAAACGAAGUACACGAAGUUGCAAUGGCUAACUUUUAACUAAACAAAUCCCAAGGAAAAAACUACUAGAUGGAUCUACUUAUAUAGGAGCAAGGGGUGGUGGCCAAGGAGGUGGGAGGAUGUCCCAAGGCAGACUAAAACUAAUGCUAGGUCAUACAAGGCUCAUGGGCCCAAGUGGAGGUGAUGCAACACCUUUGGGCUUGUAGUUUGACUCGGAUUCUGCUGCAAUGUCAUAUUAUUUCGUCCAUAACUCAACACUCCGGACGAAUUUGAAGGUGAAUCCAAUUGAGUUGGAAAUAGCACGAAAUCUAGUUUCCAAAAAAAGAAUCACCCAAUUCGGAGUCCGUAUGAAAAAGUAGUUGGCGUUUUGAGUCAUGUAUGUCUGUGAAGUCCGAAUCUGAAUCCAGAACGUGAGAGACUUGGACUCUAUCUUCUCUUGGCCCAAAAGUGACGUGAGAGGACUUUUCGAACAGAACCUAAACUUCUUCUUUUCCCUUAUCUUCAUAUGUGGAUUGUACAAAUGUCCCAUACACCUGCAAUUAGAUAAAACACAAAAGUGUUUGAAGUAUUUUUGUUCUGGAUAACACAAAUAGAUUAUUGAAUAGUUUGCAUUAGAAAUCACCUGACAAAUAUGCAUGUAUGCAAUAUUUUUGCUCGUAUCCAAGGUAGUCAUGUCCUCAUCAUCAUCCCCUUCUUGAAAACAAAGCCGUCCUCGGCGUUGCUCAAUCUGAAAUGUGGCUAACAAAAGAGACAAGGUGUACAUGUUGUAUAUGUAUAUGUCAUCCGUUUUAACUUUCCUUGAUUUUUGCACAUAUGACACAUGUAUACAUGAGUAACUUUCAUAGUUCAUAAAAUCUAAAGCCAAAAAAUUAUCACAAGAAGUAGAAGGCAUGAAAAUAUUGCAACUCAGUUUGCACAUAUAAGUGAAGCUCUUAUUCAUUUCAAAAGAUUGGCAAUGUUCGUCAUUAAACCAUCCCAACUUUGGUGAAUAAACCUUACUUGCAUCAAAUUUACAUGCUACAACAUGCUUAAAUAAGCAAACAUGCAAUAAGUCAUUGGACACAGAAUCAUCACCAAGAUUGGAGGUCAUAUCAAACUGAUUAAACAUUGGUUCUUUUGCAUCAACAGUUAAUUCAAUGGGUGCACUCAAAAUUGUUGAUAUUUCAGUUGUUUGAUCACAAGACGCAUUCAUGACAGUAACAAGAUUCCCUAAAAUAGGUGGUGUGCUCAAAUCAACAAGUAACUCAAUACGUGACACAUUCAAGUUAACUAGGCAUGCAUCAUUCUCAUGUGAAGUUAUAUCAUCAAUUCCUUUACUGUUACCUUGUCGCAAAGAUGUAGCUGAUGUAGGUACGGACGUUGACAAUGUACCAUACCCUUGAGAUGAUGUCGCGCUCAUAAUCCGAGGUGCAACGAUGGAGGAACCAACCGGCGGUGGUGAGCAUGAACUGGAAUAGUAGUUGUUGUAGUCACCUAAUGCAUCCUCCUGUAUCUGUCUCUCAAAGGUACAAGCACGGACAUACAUACCAGUAAUGCAACGAGGAAUAUACUGAAAUCUUGCCUGAAUAUCAUGGUUCAAACAACCAAAGAAUCUAUUCAUUGUAUCAUUCUCAGAUUCUUCUCUGUCACAAUGAUGCAUAUAAGAUUUGAACUCUUGGUAGUAAGCAUGAACAGUGUUGUUGCCUUGUUUAAAUUGUUCAAAUUUGCGAAGCAAUUCACGACGAUAGUAAGGAGGGAAAAAUUGUUGUCUCAUUAUAGCUUUCAAAACCUUCCAAGUUGUGGGUUGGUUAUCAAUGUUUCUCUUACAAUGUACACUCCACCAAACAGAAGCAAAACCAGUAAAUGCUCUAGUGGCUGCUCGCACUCGCUCAAGUUCAGAAAAGUCAUGGUGACUAAAAACUUGUUCUACUUCAAGCUCCCAAGCUAGAUAAGUAGUAGGAUUAAAUCUACCCUCAAAUGACGGUAAAAAGAUAACCUGGCCAUGUGCUUGUGUGUGUUGUCCCAACUCUCGUGAUUGUAAAGAUGUGUCCGUCGUCCAAGAACUUCUAUCUUCGGAACCUGUCAUGAUUAGUAGAAACAAGAAACAAAAUUCAAGAAUAAUAUUCCUAUGAACUACUAGGGUGUGGUCAUAAAGCGCUCACAGUAAAGCAAAUAUCAAUAUAUUACAAGUUCUUACCAAGCAGCAGGUGGUGAUAGGCAACCAGUGGUGUCAAAUAACUCUGAAGAUUGUGUAAAGCGAUUGCCAGGGGAACGUACGUACACAUGGUGUAGAAAUAUGUGGAGCUGGGUUGGCUAUAUAUGGUAGCAAAAGAUUAGCAAUAAUCAAUUCAGAGAUGCAAUGUUGAAUAAACGCUCAACGACGGUACUGUGUUGGUCCUAGGCUAGACCGUACUAGAGACGCGAGCCUAGAACACUAACAAAAUCACGGCGCUGCACGUAAACAACGGAGGAGCACACGCUGAAAUUUUUUUCUCUUUUUUUCACUUUUUUGCAAUUUUUUUCUUUUUUCCCGUUUUUUCCUCACACUUUUUUCUUUCUCUCUUUUUUUCUCUAACUUUUUUAUUUUUUUUCUCUUUUUUUUCUCUCUCCCUCUUUCCAAAACAAACUAGAUAAGAUGCAGAUUGGAUCAAGGGAAGAUGUGAAUGACCUCAACUAUGAUUUAGACAAUGAACAAUGGGUAGCACGUGGUGGAAAUUGAUGAAUGGGUGGUGGACAGCGAAAGGGAUAACGAUGCAGCGGCGGCGUGACUAAUGUGAACAGAACUCGAAACUCUAAAUGAACAAGACACUAAGACCAGCAACUCGACACGACGAUGCAACCGAUAAUUCAACUAUGCAAGCAAUGAAAAGAAAAUUGCAAAGGCUCAGACUGGCUUGGACAAAGGAUGAAUAGAUCUAGCUUUUUUUGUGGCUUUUUCUUGGACUAUAGGUAUGAAGAAUAGACUCGAUCUAAACAACGAAAAACUGUAAAAAUCUCACCGAGCAACCGGGAAAUCUGAUACCACUUGAUAGAGGCGAGGGUCCCGAUCUUUCGAUGAGAUGAUAACUAUCGAUUUGGUGGAGACGACUUUGAUGAUCCGACUACAAACGUGCACGACGUCCCAAUCUCCUGAGGUUACUGACGAUGCUGGAAGCACGGUCAGCCUGACCAUGAAGGUCUAUUCCUACAAGCAAUCGAAGAACGAGCAAGAAUAUGAUAAAGAAAUCUGAAUAUUGCAAAUAUAUAUGAAGUAUUGAUAAUGGUGGGGAUCCGGAAGCGGUCUUGGUCUGGUCGUUGGACACAAACGAAGUACACGAAGUUGCAAUGGCUAACUUUUAACUAAACAAAUACCCAGCAAAAAGCUACUAGUUGGAUCUACUUAUAUAGGAGCAAGGGAUGGUGGCCAAGGAGGUGGGAGGAAGUCCCAAGGCAACCUAAAACUAACCCUAGGUCGUACAAGGCUCAUGGGCCCAAGUGGAGGUGAUGCAACACCUCUGGGCUUGUAGUUUGACUAGGAUUCUGCUGCAACAUCAGAAUGUUUCGUCUAUAACUCAACGCUCCGAACGAACUUGAAGGUGAAUCCAAUUGGGUUGGAAAGAGCACGAAAUCUAGUUUGCAAAAAAGAAAGAAUCACCCAAUUCGGAAUCCGUAUGAAAAAGUUGUUGGCGUUUUGAUCCAGCUAUGUCUGUGCAGUCCGAAUCUGAAUUCAGAAUGUGAGAGACUUGGACUCUAUCUUCUCUUGGCCCAAAAGUGACGUGAGAGGACUUUUUGAACAGAACCUAAACUUCUCCUUUUCCCUUAUCUUCAUAUGUGGAUUGUACAAAUGUCCCAUACACCUGCAAUUACACAAAACACAAAAGUGUGUGAAGUAUUUUUUGUUCUUGAUAACAUAAAUUGAUUAUUGAAUAGUUUGCAUUAGAAAUCACCUGACAAAUAUGCAUGUAUGCAAUAUUUUUGGUCGUAUCCAAGGUAGUCAUGUCCUCAUCAUCACGCUCACAAUCCGAGGUGGGGCUACUCUAGUAGGUGCAAGGGUGGAGUAACCACCGGUAGUGGUGAGCAUGAACUGGAAUAGGAGUUGUUGUAGUCACCCAAUGCAUCCUCCUGUAUCUGUCUCUCAAAGGUACAAGCACGGACAUACAUACCAGUAAUGCAACGAGGAAUAUACUGAAAUCUUGCCUGAAUAUCAUGGUUUAAACCACCAAAAAAUCUAUUCAUUGUAUCAUCCUUAGAUUCUUCUAUGUCACAAUGAUGCAUAUAAGAUUUGAACUCUUGGUAGUAAGCAUGAACAGUGUUGUUGCCUUGCUUAAAUUUUUCAAAUUUCGGAAGCAAUUCACGAUGAUAGUAAGGAGGUAAAAAUUGUUGUCUCAUUACAGCUUUCAAAACUUUACAAUUCACAAUGUACACUCCACCAAACGGAAGCAAACCCAGUAAAUGCUCUAGUGGUAGCUCAUACUCUCUCAUGUUCAGAAAAAUCAUGGUGACUAAAAACUUCUUCUACUUCAAGCUCCCAAGCUAGAUAAAUAGCAGGAUUAAAUCUACCCUCAAAUGAUGGUAAAGAGAUAACCUGACCAUAUGCUUGUGUGUGUUGUCCCAACUCUCGUGAUGGUGAAGAUGUGUCCGUCGUACAAGAACUUGAUGCGGAGCAUCCCACGACCAUCCCCAUGGACGCCACCUCAACUAUCCAAGCUCCAAGUGGACCAAUGACAAGGGCUUGGGCACGUGCUAUUAAAUCCGAGGUGACAUCACUCCUACUUGAGUUUUCUCCCUCUUCAAGUGAGACAUGGCUGCUGCCUAAGUCCGAGAUACUAUGUGUCAUCAGGUACAACACUCAAGAAUCGGAGCCAAGGACUGUAGAAGAAGAGACAGGCGUCAACACUCUGGACAGCCCGGAACUUCCGGCCAGAGCCUAGAACUUCCGGCCCUCGGACCUUCCGGCCGACCCGGAGCUUCCGGCCGCCAAUGACUUCGACCAGCCCAGGCGUGCCAACUCUCGGGUUAGCCCGGACCCCGUCCCGGACCUUCCGGCACCCGGAAUGAUAGAGGCAAAGGUGUCCCAAUUUUUCGAUGAGAUGGUGGCUAUCAUUUCUGUGGGAGUCGACCUUGACGAUCCGACUACGAAUGUGCGAGACGUUGCACCUUAGCAAUCGCUAAACCAACUUCCGAGGGGUUAUUGACCACGCCGGAGCACGAUCAACCUGACCACGAGGAUCUGUUUCCUGCAAGCAAACGAAGAACAAGCAAGAAACUGAGAUUGCAAUCUGGAUAUUGCGAAUAUAGGAUGAAAGCUUUAUUGAUCAAGGUGGGGUUCUGUGACGUCUUGGUCUGGUUGUUGGACACAAAUGAAGUACGAGAAGUUGCAGCUAUGGCGAAAUUUUAAUCUAAACAAAACCCAAAGUCUAAACGACGCCCUAAGGGCUGUAUAUAUGGAGGAAGAGGGGGGGAAUUUCGUGGCCCUUGAGGGUGGGGUGCGAAACCAACCCUAACUCUUGUGUCCCCACACAUACAGACUCUAAAAAUAGCCGAUACUUAAGUAUUUCGAAAUUACAUGGGCCUGGCCCAAUAAUUAACUGACGCAGCACCUAGAAUAGCCUAUGGACGAAUAUUAUGAAGUGGCAUCUUGUAUAUUUCAUCCAAGGCUUCAUGCACUCCUUAUGGUGGCUUCAAAGUCCUGAAAUCAUCACUUGUAACUCCGGUCUUGUUGCCCUUGCGGAUGCCAUGAACUCCAUGUGUGUUCUUGCUCCAAUGUUCAUCCUUCUCCAAGCUAGGCCGUUCAUUUGUAAGCAAAACAAAUGUAUCCAAUUUAGGGAGCAUCAUAUUCCCAUGAACAUUAGAAUCAUUACCAAGAAACGAAAGUACCUGGUAAUUUAAUUGGCGUGCGCGAGCUCUAGUAAUUGGUCCAAUAUAUGUAAAAGUAGGGGAUGUGGAUGUAACAAUGGUAUUGAUGUCCUCAUCACGGAACCUCCGGCCUGCCCGGACCUUCUGGCCCCCGGAUGCCAGCACAUAUCCACCGCGCCAACUCUCUGCUUAGGCCAGACCCUCCCCGGAACCUCCGGCGCCCAGAACUUCCGGCCCUGCCUGCGCGCAGCCACUUGGGCCGAGGCCUGUGUACCCUUUCGUCACCUAGACUAUAUAUACUUUAUCCCGUACGACUUUCUAGGGUUAGUGUUGGUUUAGCUCAUACUCAGAGAUAGAGCUUGGCUCAUCCACAUCGGAUCUACUCCUCGUGAGAGACCGCGGCCCCUCUUCGGAGAAGAUCCACUUGGAUUCAAGACCUCCUCGCGGAGAAGAUCCCCCCAUGGAUUCAAGACCUCCUCACGAAGAAGAACCGGCUACCCUUUUAUAUCGUCCUUAGUUGUCCGUGGAUUCGUGUAUCAUUCUAUGUGCCCGAGGAUCUAGCACAUGUGUGACUUGCUCUUGUUAGUUUGAGUGUUCCUCUUGUAUUUUCCCUUGUGUUUUCCCUCGUUUCCCUACUCGUGUUCUUCGCGUUCUUUGCGGGAUCCGCUCCUUUCGUGAAAGACCGGGCGAUUAGGGUUCCAACCUACAUCAUCUUGGUAUCUAGAGCAAGGUUGAUCACGAUUUCGGAGCCUACCCGUUGUGUUUCUAGCCUAAUUUUGUUGUUUUUCGUCCUAAUGAGAAAAUCCCCACCAAAAAUAGCGACAAUUUUUUUUGUGAUUUGUUCGUGUGUUGAGAUUUUGUUGCUUUUGAUCCGUGAAUUUUGUGUGUGGCUCGUAGAUCUAGCAUCCCCACCCUUCUUUUCCUCCAAUUUCUUCUUUUUCCCCUUCGGAUUUGGGCUUUUUCCCCAAGUUUUUCCGCCCAAAUCCACGAUCCCAAAGUCUCUGUUCUUGGCAGAAUCCCGACCACCGGAACUUCCGGUCCGUCCCGGACAUUCCAGCCCCCGGACCUUCCGGCCUUCCCCGGAACCUCUGGACCCCGAACCCUCCGUCUUGCCCGGAACUUCCGGCUUCGAUAGAAAGUUCGCACUACUUCCACAACUCCGCCCAAAUUCCACCAACUUUUGUUCUGGUGCUCACCAUAUACCAUAUAUACUUCUGCAUACCUCCACCACUUCCGCAUAACUCACCAUCUUUGGACUGUUUUGCUCUCCGACACAAUUGCACUUUGAGGUUUGAGAAUUUGAGUUGCGGUACCGUAUCCUUUUUUGUUUCGGCUAUCUAGGUACGGUUCGACAUCAACAUCACCACCGCUCAUCUUCGCCACAGACGCGUCAUCAACAACGACCACCAAGACUACGACUUGGUAUUCGUGCCACCAUUUUGACACCAUUCCAGAAGCAAGACCGGUAACUUCAUCUUGGUAUUGGACAUAUCACUCUUGCCACUACAUUGAUAGCCAUCAUAGCCUUACUCCUUUGCGUUGCUUACCCAUCGAGACUAGCCAUUGAGUAUUGCCGGCAACAAGACUUGUGCACAUUAGUGAUCAUACUUCCCAUAGCAUACAUACAUCAUUGUUGCCUAUAUUGGUAUCAUCUCUUGUGUCACAAAGUUGUCAUCGCAUACUCACUUGCUAUCUUGGUUCGUGCUAGCCUCUCUCUAGUGUUGUGCAACAAGAGCAUUUUUGUGGAUUCCACAUUUUGGAUCACCCUUGGUUGCACAACCCCACUUAUCUUUUUGCGUGUGUGUUUCCGUGUACCUUAUAUGCUUGGUCUACUUGUUACAUUGCAUCUUGCGAAUCUUUUCCAACAUUAUUGAAGCUCACUUACAAUUGCAUCAAAUUUUGUGCCACGAUCCUAACCAAGCUCCACCAAAAGCUUUUACUUGUGUAGGUCUGAGAAACCGACAAGAACUCGUACCAAUUGUGCCAUUUCCUUGUCCUACAUUGGAGUGAUCCUCGAUCCACUUUCAACUUCAGUCAAGGUACAUUUGGUACUCGUUCCUCUCUUUCUACCACUCACAUUUGUCUUGGAAUGAUGUAUAGGCCAAGUACUUCUACCAACCCACUCUUCAUGGAGCAAGACGACGACAUGAACUCCUUCGUCACCAAGAGUCAUCUCUUUGGUGCACAACGUGCUUUGCAUCAAGAGCAACAAACUAUGAGUGAACGCAUCGACAACCUUGCCACCGACUUGCGACUUUCCGAGCAACGUACAAGGGACUACUUCGACCACAAGCUCGACGAUCACAAGCGAGAGAAUGACGCAAGGAUGGACGAGAUUCGCGCUUUGUUGCUCAACCGCUCUUCUUCCACUUCAAGAAGGAGCCGUUCAAGUCGCCAUUCCGACUCAAGUACACCGACAUCGAACACUCUUCGUCGAGCCGCGCGCACCGACCGUCAAGCAAACCUCAAUCCGCUUUGGGAUACCGACCCUCAAGAGCGCCGACAACGUCAAGCCGAAGAAGCCUUUGCGCUGGUUCGCAAACGAUAACAACAACGCCAACAUGAAGAGGAAGAACGCGCGUGUCUACACCAAAAUGCACACGAUACCAAGGCUCAACGCCAAGCACAACAACUCCAUGAUGCUCAAGCACUUGAGGUGCAACAAGCUCUACACGAUGUGAGUCGAGCCGUUGCCGACCGAGGCCGACAAGCCCGUGAAGAAGAGGAAGCACUUCGCGAAGAAAUUCACGAGCGAAAAUUUCAAGCUCGCAUGCAUCAUCUAGUGCCACCUCGAGCUCGAUGCGUUCCUACACAAGCUCGCCAACACCACCAAGUUCAUCGAGAGGAGGAAGACAAUGGAAAUCUUCCGCGACAUGAUCAACACGAGGUUGACAACCCUCCGCGCCAAGAGCACCACGAGUUGGACAAUCAUCUUCAACAUGGGCGUCAUCAUCCCCGACCGCAACACAAUGAAGAGCAACGCUACGGCAAGCUCAAGUUCACCAUGCCCAAGUUCAACGGAAGCAACGAUCCCGAAGAGUACCUUUCAUGGGCAUUGAAAGUUGACAAGAUUUUCCGUUUGCACAAUUAUGACGAAGAGAAGAUGAUUGCAAUGGCAUCCCUUGAGUUCCAAGACUAUGUGCUUAUUUGGUGGGAACAAGUCAUUGAGCGCCGAGAGGCAAGAGGUGAACCACCCAUCACUACUUGGGCGCAAAUGAAGGAUGUCAUGAGAGCACGCUUCGUUCCUACCUACUACAACUGCGAUCUCUUCAAGAAACUCCAACAACUCAAGCAAGGAACCAAGAGCAUUGAAGAGUACUACAAGGAGAUGGAGAUUGCCAUGAUACGAUCCAAUGUCGCGGAAGAUGAUGAGCAAACAAUGGCACGUUUCUUGAAUGGACUCAAUCAGCCUAUCAAGAAGAUCGCCGACUUCCAACCAUACUCAAAUCUCAUCGAGCUAGUGCACCAAGCUACCAAAGCGGAACGCCAAGUGCAAGAUGAUUUCAAGAAUGCCAAGUUCUCAUCCAAGUCCUACGGCUUCUCCAAUAACCAAGCUUCAAUGACUACAAGACCUUCUACUUCCAACAUCGACAAGUCGACUUCCAAGAAAGCUUCGCCAACUGCAAGCAACCAUACUACGGGCAACUUCAAGCCGAGAGCUUCAUCAUCAUCAACCCCAACCGAUGAGACCAUCAAGACGAGUUCCUUCAAGUGUUUCACUUGCGGAGGCCGAGGCCUCAAGUCCUACGAGUGCACCAACAAGCGAACCAUGGUCUUCAACGACGAUGGCACUUAUGACUCCAUGAGCAACGGCGAAAUAGAAGCCCUCGAGCAAGUUGCCAUGCACCGCCAAGUGAACAAUGAAUAAGAACAAGUCUUUUGUGAUGAAGACUCAAGUCCCGCACUUGUUGUCUCCAAAGUCUUGACUCUCCAACAUCACCAAGAAGAAGACCAAAGGUGCCACAUAUUCCACACCAAGGCCAGCAUCAAUGGACGAUCCAUCAAGGUCAUCAUCGAUGGAGGUUGUUGUCAUAAUCUCGCAAGUGAAGAACUUUGCUCCAAGCUCCAAUUGCCCAAGACGAAGCAUUCACAUCCAUACAAAGUGCAAUGGCUUAGUGAUUCCGGCACUAUCCAAGUCCAGCACCAAGUACAAGUCUCCUUCAAGAUCAGCGCCUACGAAGACACCUUGGAGUGCGACAUCGUUCCAAUGACCAUUUGUCAUCUUCUCCUUGGACGACCAUGGCAAUUCGAUAGAGGAGUCGUCCACAACGGCCGAACAAACCACUACAUCUUCAAGAUGAAGGGCAAGGAGUACAUCCUCCGUCCAAUGUCGCCAAGUCAAGUGAUCGCCGACAAGCAAGCCACCCAUCGUGGAGAUCAUAGUGAGAGAGCGAGCCACCAAAACAAGAGUGGGCGCCACAAGCCAAAAUCGAGUGCCUCCACGAUGAGCGAAAACAAGAACCUAGUUCUAUUUUCCACCAAACGUGAGAUGAGAGAAGUGUGUGAGAACCCAUCUAGUGUCCUACACUACGUCCUCGUGUGCAAGGACAAUGCACCACAAACUAACACCUCUCACACUCUUCCUCUAGUGUUGUCUUCUCUUUUGCAGGAAUUUCAAGAUGUUUUCCCCGAUGAGCUACCUCCGGGACUACCUCCACUUCGAGGCAUUGAGCACCGCAUCGACCUCAUCCCCAGAGCGCCACUUCCAAACAAAGCUCCCUACCGCGUCAACCCCGACGAAACAAAAGAAAUACAAAGGCAAGUAAAGCAUCUCAUAGACCAUGGACAUGUGCGUGAAAGUUUGAGCCCUUGUGUCGUUCCGGUCAAUCUUGUGCCAAAACGUGAUGGUAGUUUUCGCAUGUGCUCCGAUUGUAGACCUAUCAAUGCUAUCACCGUUCGCUAUAGGUAUCCCAUUCCACGCCUAGAUGCUAUGCUUGAUGAGCUUAGCGGUGCCACUAUAUUUUCUAAAAUUGAUCUUAAAAGUGGUUACUAUCAAAUCCGCAUACAAGAGGGUGAUGAAUGGAAAACCGCCUUCGAAACCAAGUUUGGUUUGUAUGAGUGGUUAGUCAUGCCUAUGGGUCUUUCGGAAGCGCCGAGCACUUUUAUGCGCCUUAUGAAUCAUGUAUUUCGCCCUUACAUUGGUAUAUUUGUUGUGGUUUACUUUGAUGACAUUCAUGUGUUUAGCAAACUCUUAGAAAAGAGCGACUCUAUGCUAAUAUGGAGAAAUGCCUUUUUGGUGUUGAUAAGCUCGUUUUCUUGGGUUUUGUUGUUUCUGCUAAGGGUGUUCAUGUUGAUGAGUCCAAGAUAAAUGCUAUUAAGACUUGGCCGCAACCAACCAACUUGCAUCAAGUGCGUAGUUUUCUUGGCCUUGCGGGUUUCUAUCGUCGCUUUGUAAAGGAUUUUAGCACCAUUGCUUCGCCUUUGCAAGCUUUGAGCAAGAAGAAUGCGCCUUUUGUUUGGGGACCAUCCCAAGAUACCGCAUUCAAUGAGCUUAAGAAUUUGCUUACUCAUGCUCCCAUCCUUUCUUUACCAACUUCGAGAUGCCUUUUGAAAUUCAUUGCGAUGCUAGUGGUAAUGGAAUAGGAGGUGUGUUAACGCAAGAGAAGCGCCCCGUAGCUUACUUUAGUCAGAAACUUUCCGGACCGCAACUCAAUUAUCCCAUCUAUGACAAAGAGCUAUAUGCUUUAGUCCGCGCUUUGCAUGAAUGGGAACACUACCUUCGUCCCCAUGAGUUUAUCAUUCAUACCGAUCAUGAGACUCUCAAGUAUCUUAAGGGACAAACUAAGUUGAACAAGCGUCAUGCUAAAUGGAGUGAAUUUAUUGAGUCUUUUCCAUAUGUCAUCAAGUACAUCAAGGGUAAAGAAAACAUAGUAGUGGAUGCUCUUUCUUGCAUUUGCAUGCUUGUCACGCAACUUGAGUUAGAUGUCAUUGGCUUCAAGCAUAUCAAGGACUUAUAUGAGCAUGAUGCAACUUUUGCCAUUCCUUAUGUCAAGUGUUUGUCGAAUACAUCUUCGGAACGGUAUUGCAUCAAAGAUGGCUACCUUAUGAGAGCUAACAAACUUUGCAUUCCCGAGUCCUCUCUUCGCUUGUUGCUUUUGUAGGAAUCCCAUGGAGGAGGCUUAAUGGGACAUUUCGGACGUGACAAGACGUUCGCCACGCUCUCGAAAAGCUACUUUUGGCCUAAGAUGUUUCGGGAUGUCAAUCGUUUCACCAACCGGUGUUCUACAUGUCGCAAAGCUAAGUCCAAAGCUCAAUCUCAUGGUCUCUAUAUGCCUUUACCAAUUCCCUACCAGCCUUGGGAAGACAUUAGCAUGGACUUUGUACUUGGUUUGCCUAGGACUCGCAAUGGGAAAGAUUCCAUAUUUGUCGCUGUGGACCGUUUCUCAAAAAUGGCACAUUUUAUUCUUUGCCACAAGAUAGACGAUGCUUCACAUGUUGCUAAUCUCUUUUGUAGGGAAAUUUUGCGUCUCCAUGGUGUGCCAAAAACCAUCCUCUCGGACCGCGAUGUCAAGUUCCUUAGCUACUUUUGGAAGACCCUAUGCGCCAUGCUCGGAAUCAAGAUACUCUUCUCCACGGCGUACCAUCCUCAACCGACGGCCAAACGGAGGUGACAAACCACACACUCUCCGCUCUACUUUGAGUACUCAUCAAGAAGAACAUCAAGGAGUGGGAGGAGUGUCUACCCAUCGCCGACUUCGCCUACAACCUAUCAAGACACUCAACAACCGGCAUGUCCCCUUUCGAGGUCGUCUACGGAUUCAACCCUUUGUCACCAUUGGAUAUUCUAUCUCUACCACUCCAAGAGCGAAUCAAUUUGGACGCAAAUGCAAGAGUGACCCAUAUCAAGUAUGCAUGAAGAUACAAGAAACACCAUCGAGCGCCAAGUACAACGCCUUGCGACCAAGCUCAAUGUCAACAAGCAACCUAUGGUCUUCAACAUUGGUGAUCUCGUGUGGCCACACCUUCGCAAGGAGCGCUUUCCAAAAGAACGCAAGUCUAAGCUUCGACCACGAGCAGAUGGACCCUUCAAGGUGCUCGCACACUACAACAACAACGCUUACAAGAUCGACCUCCCGCGCGACAAGUACAACGUGAGCGACAUCUUCAACAUCAAAGAUCUCUCUCCCUUCGAUGGUGAUGUAGAACUCGAUCCGAGGACGGAUCUUCCCCAAGGGAGGGGAGAUGACGCGGAGCAUCCCACGACCAUCCCCAUGGAUGCCACCUCAACUUUCCAAGCUCCAAGUGGACCAAUGACAAGGGCUAGGGCACGUGCUAUUCAAUCCGAGGUGACAUCACUCCUACUUGAGUUUCCCCCCUCUUCAAGUGAGACAUGGCUACUGCCUAAGUCCGAGAUACUAUGUGUCAUCAGGUACAACGCUCAAGACUCGUAGCCGAGGAUUGUAGAAGAAGAGACAGGCGUCAACACUCUGGACAGCCCGGAACUUUCGGCUCCCGGAGCUUCCGGCCGACCCGGAGCUUCCGGCCACCAAGGACUUCGACCAGCCCAGGCGUGCCAACUCUCGGGUUAGCUCGGACCCCGUCUGGGACCUUCUGGCCCCCGAAUGCCAGCACAUCUCCACCGCGCCAACUCUCUGGUUAGGCCGGACCCUCCCCAGAACCUCCGGCGCCCAGAACUUCCGGCCUAGCCCGGAACUUCCGGCCCUGCCUGCACGCAGCCACUUGGGCCGAGGCCCAUGUACCCUUUCGUCACCUAGACUAUAUAUACUCUAUCCCGUACGACUUUCUAGGGUUAGCGUUGGUUUAGCUCAUACUUAGAGAUAGAGCUUCGCUCAUCCACAUCGGAUCUACUCCUCGUGAGAGACCGCAUCCUCUUUAGAGAAGAUCCCUUUGGAUUCAAGCCCCCUUUCUAAGGGAAGAUCCCCCGUGGAUUCAAGAUCUCCUCACGGAGAAGACCGGCUACCUUUCUAUCGUCCUUAGUUGUCUGUGGAUUCGUGUAUCGUUCUAUGUACCCGAGGAUCUAGCACAUGUGUCACUUGUUCUUGUUAGUUUGAGUGUUCCUCUUGUGUUUCCCCUUGUGUUUUCCCUCGUUUCCCUCCUCGUGUUCUUCGCGUUCUUCACGGGUGAUUAGGACAUCAAUACCAUUGUUACACCCACAGCCCCUGCUGAUGUACAUACUGGACCAAUUACUAGAGCUCGCGCACGCCAAUUGAAUUAUCAGGUACUUUUGUUUCUUGGUAACGAUUCUAAUGUUCAUGUGAAUAUGAUGCUGCCUAAGUUGGAUACAUUUGUUUUGCUUAAAAAUGAAGGGCCUAGCUUGGACAAGAAAGAUGAACCUUGGAGCAAGUUCAAGCAUGGAGAUGAUGGCAUGCGCAAGGGGAACAAGAACAGAGUUACAAGUGAUGAUUCCAGGACUCUGAAGCCACCAUAAUGAGUGCAUGAAGCAUGGGACGAAAUAUACAAGAUGCCACUUCAUAAAUUUUGUCCAGAGGCUAUUCUAGGUGCUGCGUCACCUUAUUAUUGGGUCAGGCCCAUGUAUUUUCGAAAUACUUAAGUAUAGGUGGAAAUUUGACCCGCUUCCAGCUGAAUCGGUGGAAAUUUGUCUUUUUCAUGAGAGGUGGAUCAAAAAAAUUUACACGCAACCAUUUUGUCAAUUGUGCAUUAAUUAUGACCUAGUAUUUUAUAAAAAUAAAUUGGUCCAAUUUUGCAAUAAUUAUUUGGUAGUUCCUUCACAAAACAUCCUCCUUUUGGGCACUCGAAAAAUGGAAAAUGGUUUUUUCGUCCAACGAAAAAUGAAAACUUUCUUAGGCAACAUUGUUUGCCAUUCUAAUAUGCACCCUUGUGCACAAUAUGAGAUCAUUUGAACAAACUAUGCCAUGAAUGUGGCCAUAAGAUUGAUCAUUUGGCUUGAAAGCCAUUGACCUUCACACAUGAUAGAUCAUUUCUGAGAACACUUUUUUAAAAUAAUUAUCGUAUUACAAGUUUAUUAUUUUUCCCGGAAACUUAAUCACAUAUAAUGAGACAAUGCGAAGGUUUUCCAUUUUUUUGAUUUUUUUUGAAUUUUUUAUGUCCGUUUCAAAAUGUGGUCAAAACGGCGGGCUUGACCGUUCCUAGGUAGCGGUUGAAUCUUGGAAUUUUUUUGGUGUUUCUCUGAUUAAAUAGAUACUUAUGUACCUAUAAAUGAUUUUUGGAAAAAAUAAAGAGCAAACUACGAGGUAGCUACAGUUCAACUUUGACCCGCUUCCAACUGAAUUGGCGGAAAUUUGUCUUUUUCACGAGAGGUGGAUCAAAACUUUUUACACCCAACCAUUUUGUCAAUUGUGCAUUAAAUAUGUCCUAGUAUUUUAGAAAAAUGAUUUGGUCCAAUUUUGCAACAAUUAUUUUGGAGGUCCUUCACAAAAAACCUCCUUUUGGGCACUCGAAAAAUGGAAAAUGGUUUUUUCGUCCAAAGAAAAUGAAAACUUCCUUAGGCAACAUUGUUUGCCAUUCCAAUAUGCACCCUUGUGCGCAAUAUUAGAUCAUUUGAACAAACUAUGCCAUGAAUGUGACCAUAAGAUUAAUCAUUUGGCUUGAAAGCCGUUGAUCUCCACACGUGAUAGCUCGUUUCUGAGAACACUUUUUAAAAAUAUUUGCCGUAUUACAACUUAAUUAUUUUUCGUGGUAACUUGGUCACAUAUGAUGAUGCAAUGCCAAGGUUUUCCAAUUUUUUAUUUUUUUGAAUUUUUUAUGCCCGUUUCAAAAUGCAGUCAAAACGGCGGGAAUGACCGUUCCUAACUAGUGGUUGAAUCUUGGAAAAACUUUUGGUGUUUCUCUGAUUAAAUAGGUAGUUAAGUACCUAAAAUUGAUUUUUGGAAAAAAUAAAGAGCAAACUAGUAGGUAGCUGCUGUUCAAAUUUGACCCGGUUCGAGCUGAAUCGGAAAAAAAAUGUCUUUUUCAUGAAUGGUGGAUCAAAGUUUUUGACACCCAACCAUUUGGUCAAUUCUGCAUUAAAUAUGGCCUAAUAUUUUAGGAAAAUUAUUUGGUCCAAUUUUGGAACAAAUAUAUGGUAGCUCCUUCACAAAAAAGUCUCAUUUUGGGCACUCGAAAAAUGGAAAUUGUUUUUUUUUCAGAAGAGGUGGAUCAAAAGCUUUUGACAUGCAACUAUUUGGUCAAUUUUACAUAAAAUAUGGUCUAAUAUUUUAGAAAAAAUGGAGUGGUGCUAUUUUGGAACAAAUAUUUGGUAGGUUCUUAAAAAAAGCAUUUAUGCACGCGGAAAAUAAAAAAAUAUUAUUUAUGUAAUAAAAAUUAAAGCUCUAUUUGGCAACAUUGUUUGCCAUUUCAAUAUGCACACUUAUGCAAAUACGAGAUCAUUUUGACGAACUAUGCCAUCAUUAUGUUUUUAAAAAGGAGAGAUUUGAAUCCAAUUUUUUGAAAUUCAAGCGCGAGACAGCCGACCAAUGAAACGUGAGGAAUCACCUUCACGCGGAUCAUCUGAUUGGACGCAAUAUGAGCCGUCUAUCGCGCACCCAUCCAACGGUGGAGCUUCUCCCGAGUAACAAAAACCCUAACCCACCCACCCACCCUCCUCGAUACCCGCCGCCGCCACCCCCACCCACCCUCCUCGAUCCUGACGCACCCAUUCUCUGUCUUCCCUCCCUCCCUCCCGAUGCGGCCGCUCUCUCAACCCCGACGCGCCGCCGUCCUCCGCCUUCCCCUGCAUUCCGCUNNNNNNNNNNNNNNNNNNNNNNNNNNNNNNNNNNNNNNNNNNNNNNNNNNNNNNNNNNNNNNNNNNNNNNNNNNNNNNNNNNNNNNNNNNNNNNNNNNNNNNNNNNNNNNNNNNNNNNNNNNNNNNNNNNNNNNNNNNNNNNNNNNNNNNNNNNNNNNNNNNNNNNNNNNNNNNNNNNNNNNNNNNNNNNNNNNNNNNNNNNNNNNNNNNNNNNNNNNNNNNNNNNNNNNNNNNNNNNNNNNNNNNNNNNNNNNNNNNNNNNNNNNNNNNNNNNNNNNNNNNNNNNNNNNNNNNNNNNNNNNNNNNNNNNNNNNNNNNNNNNNNNNNNNNNNNNNNNNNNNNNNNNNNNNNNNNNNNNNNNNNNNNNNNNNNNNNNNNNNNNNNNNNNNNNNNNNNNNNNCACCCUCCGCCAUGGUGAAUCCACCUCCAGAUCGAGAAGGGGAGGCAGCAUACGUCGCAUCCACGCACCAGAUCGAGCAGCGGCGCUCCCAGAUCGAUCCAUCUCCAUCGUCCUCGCGGUUGACGCCCAUGUCCUCCUCAAGGAUGGCCGUCUCCGUGCUCCACCACCAUCCUUUCCCUCCUCCCUCACCGCAUCUCACAUGGCGCUGGGAUCUUCCAGAUCGAGCGCCGGCAGGGUAGGCGCCUCCGCCGCCCAAGUCCAAGACCCCGCCUCCGCCGCCGGCAGGGAUCUUCCAGACCAGCGCAAGGUCUUCCGCGUCACUAACCACGCCGGGGUCGCGCUCGCCGGCCUCACAGCCAUCUUCCUCCAUGAGCUGCAGCCCAUCCUCGCCAACCACCUGCAGACCCAGACCGCCACCACCGGCAACGCAUGCGUCGUGGCCUGCAGUGCCGCCGCUGCCAAGGACCACCUCUUCAAGGUACGCACACAAUGACACAACGCGCCCACCAUCAUUGCCAUUUCAGAGAGACCGUAUGCAUCAGUCAGUAUGGACACAUCUGUAAUUUCGAGUGUCUGAACAUUGUUCCUGCGCUAUGUCUGUCUAUCUCAGGGGUCGCAGGAGCAGCCGGGCCUGGUCACCAUCACCAUGGAGGAGAUCCUCCGGUUCGUGGCGUCCGUCGGCGGCGCCGUCUGGGUGUCGUCGUACCAGGUGGUGCAGGACACCCACGUCUUUGAUCUGCUUGAUCUGCUUGAGCCGUCAUGGUUUUUAUCUGUCUUCCUUUGCAGGCUCAUGUCAAGUCAGUUGAGGAUUUCGCGCGGCUGGGCUGUUUCAAUGAGAACCAGGACAAGCAGCAGCCCGCCAAAGCUUCUUCCACCCAACACCAGCCCACUAAACUGACUAGUUUUUCAUGUCUUGUGUGAAAUCUGUACCCUACUGGAAGAUGCCACCAUCAAGUUAAUAAUAACACUAAACUGGUAUAUGUAAUUAUAGCCAGACAAUUUAUCGCAUCGUACUAUAAAAAUAUGUAAUCAGUAAGCCUAAAAGCUGCUAAACUGGUAUAUUCAUUAUUUGAGUUCAUUGGAAUAUAAUAAGAAACAAAGAUGAAUCUAUUUCUGCUAUGUGCUGCCUUUGUGCAUAGAUGUAUCUUCAUGAGUCGCAAAACUCUUGACAUGCUUAUGCUAUAGUUGAUUUUCCUAGGUUGUAGUUUGUUCCAUAUCGUGUUAGGUUGUAUUGUAUAAUCUGCAUUAUAAGUGUGGUUUCUAAUGUGCUUAUGCUAGAUUAAUGCAUCAACCUGACAUGUUACAAACCUUGAGCCAGAACCUAUGACAUCUCAUUUUAAAUGGUAAUCAUUGUUGUUAAAAUGCUACUGUUUGAUUUCAUACAAGUGUGUGCCCCCAACUGUUGUAUAGUUGUAUCCAUACUUCUGAGCAUAUUAUUGUCUAGCCUCUUUUGUGAUUAGUCCUCAUUUUUAAUGAUGUUACUGUUUAUCUAAGAUCAUUUGAAGUUUUGAGAUGGCACCUAGCUAGCCUCUUUUGUGAUUAGUCCUCAUUUUUAAUGUCAUCCACACUAUUUUUUUGUUAAUUUUGUUCCUUGUAUGAACAACCUUAUAAUUUUGGUGGAUGCACAUGUGGGUGGCAGGAGGGCUAGUUCAUGUAGCUUACUUCCUGUUUGUCAUUUUGGUGGCUUGCCAUUUUAUUUACGGCAUUGUGGAUGAUGCCAUUAUCCUAGUUUUCACAUUUAUAUUAGUCACUUAAACAAGGCUCGGUUAAGUUGAGUUGUUCUGCUGCUGAUGGCAAUACAAGCCAAUAGAUCUCACAUGCAAAAAUUCAACAGAUUUUGCUAGGUUAAUAUUGAGUUGGGGCAGCUGCCUGCAUAUGCAAAAAUUCAACAGAUUUACAGCAUUGUGGAUGAUGCCAUUAUCCUAGUAAUGAUGCAGAGAUACUUACUUGUGCAGGCAAAGGUACAUACUAUUGAUGCCAUUGAAUUGAUCAGUUGUCAUAUAUACAAGGAUGAAUAUAGCCGUUUAGUUAGUUUCCAUGAUUGGUUUAUUUGUGAUUCGUUCUAUCUCUGAUGGUUACCUUGCUUGUGUCUGAACCUGUAUGAUAAGCUAAUAUAUUUUCCAGAAGUGGCUUGGGAACCUCUUUGGUUCCGACUAGCCACCUAUUACGCAGCUAGUUCCAUGAGUAUUUAGUCUUCUGUCCCCUUUUCUGGUACUGAUUUGCCACAUAAUGUUCAUGAUGCAUCAUAUCUCAUGUUGAAGUACUUUGCUGUGACGCUUUGUUUUGGGGUCAGUCAGUAGUACUCUGAACAAGAGCAUAAACAUAUAUGAUUGUGUUAUAUUAAUUGACUGCAUGCCCUCUUGGAUUCUAUUUUUGCCUGCUGCAUGUGUGCUGAUAGUUUUUGCAUAGUGUUGGCCGUGGGGUCUGGCCAGCGAUGUCGGGUCGUUGGUCGGACAGACGAUCAGAUUUAUUUUUGGUACAUUUCGUUGAUUGCUGGUACUGUGUUGACGCAACCUCGAAUGCCUUGCCCGUUACGCCGUUGCUCCUCUUUCUUAUCUGCUUUGAUUGUAGUUAUGCAGAGCCAAAUCGUGUGCCACCGUUGCCGAAGGGUGCUGGCCUACCUGUCAGGGCGCCCAGCGUGUGCGGCGCCAUGUGCCAAGCCAUCACCGCCGUGCCACCCCCAGCGCCAGGUACUGUGUGCGGCCUGAUUUCCUUUCAAUUGUUCUGCUCUUUUCGUGUUGGCAUCGCCUCACAACGUGUAUAACCAUCCUGAUGUUCAACUCUGGGAAUGUUGCUUUGGAAGUAGGAUGGAGUUUUGCAUUGUAUGAUGAAUGUUAUAAAAAUUAUGUAGAAACAUUUGUGAGGAGUACAUGCCAGAUAAAGAGUUACCAUGGGAUUCAAAUUUCACUCUUCCCACAUGCAUGUUUAGUAUGGUUAGAUUCUUUUCUAUGUUUACUUCAGUUCAAGCUUCUGCGCACCUAGGUUCACUAUCUGCUGCUUGUAGGAUACUUACUCCAUGGCUGAUAAUAUCAGCGCGAUGGAUAAAUCUUAUGUUGCACCCUGUCAUUUGUUCUCAAGAGGCCAAGUGGUUUUCUGCAAAAAGCAUAGAGAAGUAUUGUAAAUUCAUAGGAAAUAACAAAAUUGUUUAAAGUUUAUUUGGGUUGGAUCUGUAUAUACACUAUUUUCUUAAAACACAAACCUGUACAUUCACAGCUGAAUAGAUGAUACAUUUUUUUGGAUCUGUACAUGCAAUUUUUUGCAUUGGAUUGGUGGUUAGUUUUAUGUACCUUUGAAUUUUAAUUGAAUAGCAUUAGUACUGCUCAAAUAAACUUGUGUUUUCUCAUCAAAAUCAACAGCCCUCUCUUGUGUUCCUGUUAUGAGAAUUGUUCCUUCAAGGAUAUGCCAGAAUUUGUACACUCAAAUCUCUAAUGAUGUUUGUCUUUGUGUUCAGGAGCUCGAGUUCUACAAAAUUUGAAGUUCGAAACCAUAUAGCUCUACUCAGCAAAGAGUCGUCUCUUCUAUUUGAUUGUAAUAGAAUGUAAAUAUUGUAAUAUUGUAAUAGUAGGCAUAUCUGGGUUGUAAUAACUAUAUACAGAUUGUAGUAGACUUAGUUUUAUUUGAUGAACUACGUUUGUACUGUUCUGUUUGAAAUAUUGAUUAUGUAAGUGAUUUGAAAACGUGUGGAAUGGAAACCUAACUUGUGGGAUUCACUUAUGAAAAUAAUCUAAGCAAUUUUGAAUUUUCUGUCAAGUGGGCCCAAUGUGUGAGAAGAUGACAAGUGGGACCAGCUCCAAAAUAUAAUGGCCCAAACAAUGUUAAAAGGCCUUGGCCCAGAAAUAAAUAAAAGGCUGAAAUGGGCUUGGCCCGUGUAACUUACAGAAAAAAAUAAAUACUAAAAAGGCUGAAUUAAUGGGCUCGACCCAUAUAAACACCGAAUUGGACCGGGCUGAAUCUUGUGCUACAUCAGAUUGCCACACUGGAUGCCUAUGUGGCCUGGGGAGGUUGCUAGUGACCAAAAUGCCACAGUAGACAUAUUUUGGUCAUAAACGUCUACGACCAUUCGAGAAGGAAGGUUGCUAUAGUCAGUUUAUGACGGCCAGCUUUUGAUCUUAUGUUUUUGGUCACAAAAAGGUCACAAAUGGAAAUAUGUGACCAUUCAGUGACCAAUAGUGGUGGUCACAAGUUGACAUAUUUCUUCUAGUGCUUAAGUAUAGGCUGUUUUUAGAGUCCGUAUGUGUGGGGAAACAAGAGUUAGGGUUGGUUUCGGACCCCUCCACCAAGGGCCACGAAAUUCCCCCUCUCUCCUCCAUAUAUACAGACCUUAGGGCAUCGUUUAGACUUUGGGUUUUGUUUAGAUUAAAAGUUCACCAUAGCUGCAACUUCGCGUACUUCGUUUGUGUCCAACGACUAGACCAAGACGUCACAAAACCCCACCUUGAUCAAUAAUCUUUCAUCUUAUAUUCGCAAUAUCCAGAUUGCAAUCUCAGUUUCUUGCUUGUUCUUCGUUUGCCUACAGGAAACAGACCUUCGUGGUCAGGUUGAUCGUGCUCCGGCGUGGUCAAUAACCUCUCGGAGUUGGUUUAGCGAUUGAUAAGGCGCGACGUCCUCGCAUGUUCGUAGUCGGAUCGUCAAAGUCGACUUCCUCCAAAACGAUAGCCACAAUCUCAUCAAAAGACGGGACACCUUUGCCCCUAUCAGCGGGAUCCGUUGCUUUCGUGAAAGAUCGGGCGAUUAGGGUUCCACCCUACAUCAACUUGAUAGAGGCGAGGGUGUCCCGAUCUUUAAAUGAGAUGAUAAUUAUCGAUUUGGUGGAGACGACUUUGACGAUACGACUACAAACGUGCAUGACGUUCCGCCUUAGCAAUCGCUAAACCAAUCUCCUGAGGUUACUGACAAUGCCGGAAGCACGGUCAGCCUGACCACGAAGGUCUAUUCCUGCAAGCAAUCGAAGAACGAGCAAGAAUAUGAUAAAGCAAUCUGAAUAUUGCAAAUAUAUAUGAAGUAUUGAUAAUGGUGGGGAUCCGUAAGCGGUCUUGGUCUAUUCGUUGGACACAAACGAAGUACACGAAGUUGCAAUGGCUAACUUUUAACUAAACAAGUCCCAAAGAAAAAACUACUAGAUGGAUCUACUUAUAUAGGAGCAAGGGGUGGUGGCCAAGGAGGUGGGAGGACGUCCCAAGGCAGACUAAAACUAAUGCUAGGUCAUACAAGGCUCAUGGGCCCAAGUGGAGGUGAUGCAACACCUUUGGGCUUGUAAUUUGACUCGGAUUCUGCUGCAAUGUCAUAUUGUUUCGUCCAUAACUCAACACUCCGGACGAAUUUGAAGGUGAAUCCAAUUGAGUUGGAAAUAGCACGAAAUCUAGUUUCCAAAAAAAAGAAUCACCCAAUUCGGAGUCCGUAUGAAAAAGUAGUUGGUGUUUUGAGUCAUGUAUGUCUGUGAAGUCCGAAUCUGAAUCCAGAACGUGAGAGACUUGGACUCUAUCUUUCUUGGCCCAAAAGUGACGUGAGAGGACUUUUCGAACAGAACCUAAACUUCUUCUUUUCCCUUAUCUUCAUAUGUGGAUCGUACAAAUGUCCCAUACACCUACAAUUAUAUAAAACACAAAAGUGUUUGAAGUAUUUUUGUUCUGGAGAUAAAACACAAUUAGAUAACACAAAUAGAUUAUUGAAUAGUUUGCAUUAGAAAUCACCUGACAAAUAUGCAUGUAUGCAAUAUUUUUGCUCGUAUCCAAGGUAGUCAUGUCAUCAUCAUCCCCUUCUUGAAAACAAAGCCGUCCUCGGCGUUGCUUAAUCUGAAAUGUGGCUAACAAAAGAGACAAGGUGUACAUGUUGUAUAUGUAUAUGUCAUCCAUUUUAACUUCCCUUGAUUUUUGCACAUAUGAAACAUGUAUACAUGAGUAACUUUCAUAGUUCAUAAAAUCUGAAACCAAAAAAUUAUCACAAGAAGUAGAAGGCAUGAAAAUAUUACAACUCAGUUUGCACGUAUAAGUGAUGCUUUUAUUCAUUUCAAAAGAUUGGCAAUGUUCAUCAUUAAACCAUCCUAACUUUGAUGAAUGAACCUUACUUGCAUCAAAUUUACAUGCUACAACAUGCUUAAAUAAGCAAACAUGCAAUAAGUCAUUGGACACAGAAUCAUCAUCAAGAUUAGAGGUCAUAUCAAAAUGAUUAAACAUUGGUUCUUUUGCAUCAAUAGUUAAUUCAAUGGGUGCACUCAAAAUUGUUGAUAUUUCAGUUGUUUGAUCACAUGACGCAUUCAUGACAGUAACAAGAUUCUCUAAAAGAGGUGGUGUGCUCAAAUCAAUAGGUAACUCAACACAUGAUGUAUUCAAGGUAACUAGGCAUGGAUCAUUCUCAUGUGAAGUUAUAUCAUCAAUACCUUUACUGUUACCUUGUCGCAGAGAUGUAGCUGAUGUAGGUACGGACGUUGACAAUGUACCAUACUGUAAGUGCAUCUAGUGCCACCCCUAGUUGGUUUUGGAGUAUUGACGACAAACCUAGUUGAGGGACUAAUGUGUUUGUGAGAAUUGCAGGAUAACACAGGUAGAAGCCCGCCAGUGAUUCGGUUUUCCUUCCAGAGAUGACCCCUAAAAAUGUAUGAAGAUAUUGAAGUCAAAGGUGGUAAGUGAAGACAAUCACCUUCAAGACUAUGACAAGAGAAGACAUCGCAUGAACACUAUGGAGCGCGAAGACUUAGAUCUUUCGUAGUUCUUUUUCUUCCUUGUUGAGUCAUAGGAACUACCGUACUGUUAAGUGGGGUCCAAGAAAACUAGUCAGAAUGACUGAAGUGAUGCUUAACCAAAAUCCUAUGUCUUCGAGUGAAGACUAUGAGAGGGAAUCUUGUUCAGAGUUGGACAAGUCAGCUUUGCUUGUAGCCCAAGUAAAGUUGCCGUGUGUGUUUGAAAUCUAACCGUUGGAACACGUGUCAGUUCCUUACUAACCCAGGGUCAUUUCGUACAAAUCAGGUCGGGUUGCCUAGUGGCUAUAAAUAGCCCACCCCUUACAACCAUAAAUGGUUGGCUGCUCAGAGUUAAUGUACGGCUUUUGUCGUUUGAGAGCAACCCACCUCGAAGCCUUUGAGAGAGAAUUCCUUAAGAGGAUAAAUCCCUAACCACCCAGAGCCAAAGAGUGUUAGGCAUCACUUAAGUGUUCUUGUCUGUGUGAUCUGAAGACUUAUUACACUUGAGGACUGUGAAUCCUCCAGCCGGUUAGGCGUCGCGUUCUGAGCAUCCAAGAGUCAUUGUGGAUCGCCGGUGAACGAAGUCUGUGAAGGUUUGGAAGUCUACCUUGAAGAUUUACCAGAGUAAUUGGGCGAGGACUAGGUGUCCUUAGCUCAAGGGGAAUAAGGUGAAGACGAGGUCUUCUGAGUUGAAUCUCAGCCUCCCUAACCAGACGUACAGUUGUCACAGCAAUUGGAACUGGUCCAACAAAUCAUUGUCUUCAACGAGUCACUGGUUUCAUCCUUCCCUUCACUUACUUACUGUUGGUUCUUGUGAAGUCAUUGUACGAUAGCAUCACCAUUUGACUUCACUAAGUGAUUACGUGUACUGAUUGGCUUCUUAACAUCUUCCUACCUGAUCCUUACUGCCUAGCUGCUAUUUGUCAUUGUGCUUUCACUUCAUUGAAUACAUGACUAUGGUUUGCCUAGUGUAGUCUACCUUCCGCUGCAUGAUAAUAGGUUUAUUUCUAUCGUUUGUCUUCGAAACUAAUAUGUUUUGAAGACUUCCCUAAAAAUCGCAUAUUCACCCCCCUCUAGUCGAUCACUAGCACUUUCAAUUGGUAUCAGAGCAAGGUACUCCCUUGUUCUGUGUGAUUCGGAUUAACCACUUGGAGUUUUAGCUAUGUCGAUUGCAGGGAUAAUUAAAGUCUCCAAUGCGUGCCCCGUCUUCGAUGGAACUGAAUAUCCCUACUAGAAGAAUAAGAUGCGCAUGCAUCUUGAAGCCAUUGAUGUCGACCUAUGGUAUGUUGUCAAGAACGGCGUUCCCAAGGCUGGAGAAGGUUUCAUUGCCGCUGAUGUCAAGAAGUUCGUUCAACUGGACUCUACUUCCAAGAAUAUCAUCUGUGGUCAUCUAACCAAAGGACAGUAUGGCCGCGUGAGUGCUUUGGAAACAUCUAAGCUAGUCUGGGACUGGCUAUCCAAGGUCAACGAAGGCGUCUCAACCGAGAGAGAUCAGAGAAUCAGUGUCCUUCGCAACCUCUUCAACCGCUUCAAGAGAAAUGACAAUGAGAAUGUCCAGCUCACGUUCGAUUGACUCACUGACAUCACAAAUGAGCUUCAAGCCCUGGGCGCUAUUGAGAUCACCAAGCAUGAAGUCGUCAGGACACUCCUGAGAUCACUUGACAGUUUGUUUGACACCCUAGCCCUGAUGAUUCAAGAACGUCCUGAUUUCAAGACACUCGAUCCGUCUGACAUACUUGAAAGGCUCAACACACACGAGUUUUUGCUUUUUGAGAAAAGAGACAUCUACGGUCCCAACUAUGGGCGAACUCAUGCCUUGAAGGCAAAGGCUGUCUCCUCAUCUGAAGAAGAGUCUGACAGCAGUUCUGAUGAUCCUGAAGACAUUGGAAGGGAGCUUGCUAUGCUUGUGAAGAAGUUCCAAAAAUUCACCAAGAAGAAAGGCUUCAGAAAGUCUUCACAAUCAAGCUCAAGGAAUGAUGAAGCUUCUGCUCAUGACUACAAGAAGAGAACAUGUCACAAGUGCAAGAAACCUGGCCACUACAUCUCUGAGUGUCCACAGUGGGACAAUGAGAACAAGAACAAGAAGAAGAGCAAGGAGUAUGACUCUGACGACAAGAAGAAGAAGAAAUACUCAAAAUCUUCUUCCAAGUCUUCCUCCAAGUCUUCAUCACACAAGAAGAGCUCAUCUGGCAAGGCACGUGCGUUUGUUGGCAAGGAAAUGGACUCUGAGGAUGAGUCCGCAUCUGAGGAGGCGGAGGUGGAGUCUGAGGAGGAGUCCGAUUCUGGCAUUGGAAGUCUGGCUACAGCAUACGUUGCCAAGUCCAUCUUCAACACUGAAGAAAAUGACUUCAUCACCGACACCGAUGCAAAUGACAAGGACUACUCCACUCCUUCCUACUGCUUCAUGGCACGUGGUGCCAAGGUAAACACACGCAAUACUCACUAUCAAACAUCUAGUGACGAUGACUCUGAUUGUGUUUCCAAACCCAGCUACAAAACACUUGCUAAAAUUGCAACUGAACAACACAAAACCAUGGAACACAUUCAAAAACUGUUAGACAAAAGCGAUGAUCUGUUAGACGCUGAAAUGACUCGAUCUCAGUCCUUAAUUGAAGACAUAAAAAAUCUUCACGUUAUGUAUGAGGAACUUGAAAGUCGUCAUGAAACGCUCUCAACAGGUCAUGAAAGGCUUUCCUAUGAUUAUCUUCAAAGGAAGCAAGAUCUUGAUAAAUUGAGAGCGGCUCAUGAAGAUCUUCAAAAAAGAAAACGAUUCACUUCGCGCCGAACAGAUCAGUUCAGCUCAGGAAGGAUUUGAACCACCAUGUCUUAAAUGUAUUGAGCGUGAUAACGCUACUUCUGUUGCUGAAUGUUCUACUGCUGCUACUGUUGCAAUAUCUUCAACUGUUGAUGUGGAAACUAACCCCUCUGCUGAGGACACCACUGCUAUUGCUGAUGAGAAUGCUAGGUUGAAGACACUGCUUGAAACGGGGAUGUACAAAAGUCUCAAAUGGCAUCAGACACUAUGUGAUGUCCUCAAAAGGCAGAUCCUGAACCGAAACCCUAGGAAAGAGGGUGUUGGGUUCAUAAGGAAAAUGAAUGCUGAUGGCUCUUACUGGAAACCUGAGCAGUACCCCAAAACCACAUGGGUUGCUGCAAAGGAACCUUCAGCAGAUCCAUCCACUCUAUCUGGCUUCACUUGUGCUAACCCCAUUGUUAUUGAUGAAUCCUUUGAUGCAAACUAUAAACUGUUUAAGAAUCAGAAUGGUGAAGUGUUUCCCAGGUAUAUUGGUACUAACUGCAGGAAUGGACCGCCUAUGAAGAAGAUCUGGGUGCCGAAAAGGUGUUUGGAGAAUCUUCCUGUGAAUGUCAUCAUGACACCACAGGUGAAGAAGACAAACCCCAAACCACAGGCCUCAUACGGUCCAAAGGCUUCAUACAGACAGAGGACUCACCUGAGUCACACUAACGCAAAUGUUUUGCAGGGAAGCCAUACUCAGGCCUAUGAAUAUGAGCACGGUUCAUCAAACCGCCAUGUUCAUAAGACCAAGAACUAUUAUGCUUAUUCUUAUGAAUACUAUUGUCCACCUGCAAGACUUUUUGCUAGGGCUCCAAAGCCAAAGUUCUCAGAUGUUGCACUUAGACUUAUUGCUUCGAAGCCACCCCUUUAGAUGUGGGUGGCUAAGAAAGCUUAACUCUCUUUUGCAGGAAAAGGUCUCCAGCCGAAUACCAAAAUCGUCUGACACUAUUGUUGGGGACCUUAAACAUCUUGAGGGCGCAAGAUCAAAUGCCCAAAUGGUCUUACUAUGUACUUUGUUUCUGAAUUGCUUGCAACCUGCCCUAUCAGUCCUAAUCUUGAUCUAAGCCUUAAUAAUCCACUGGUUCGUCAAAUGUUUUUGCUUCACAAUUCUCUUCGUGAAGCCUAUCCCCCUAACUGCACUGUAGGGUACGACACCAGCUGCUUCAGAAUGGAUUGUUGAUAGUGGGUGUACAAAUCACAUGACUGGCAAGCGAAGCCUUCUCAUGGACUCAACUUUACAUCCAUCAAACAAAAGUCACAUCACAUUUGCUGACACUUGUAAAAGCAAGGUAUUGGGUCUAGGUAGAGUUGCAAUCUCAAAGGAUCAACACAUGAAAAAAGUCAUGCUUGUUGAAUCCCUUGGUUUCAACUUAAUGUCUGUCUCAAUGCUUUGUGAUUUAAACAUGAUUGUGAUGUUUGGAAAAUAUCGUUGCCUUGUACUAAUGGAAUAUGACAAGUCUCUAGUGUUUGAAGGGUAUCGAAAAGAUGAUUUGGAUGUUGUAGAUUUCUCAGCAGGGCCACAACUUCCAGUAUGUCUUCUAGCAAAAGCUUUUGAAUGCUGGCUCUGGCAUCGAAGGCUAGGGCAUGCUGGCAUGAGGAACCUCCACACCCUUGCAAGGAGAAAUCAUGUCAUAGGCAUCGAGGGCGUCAAGUUCAAGAAGGAUCACUUAUGCGAUGCCUGUGAAGCAGGAAAGAUGACGAGGGCCAAGCAUCCCUCAAAGACAAUCAUGACAACGACUCAACCCUUCGAACUGCUGCACAUGGAUCUUUUCGGUCCCACUCAUUACUCAACUCUUACUACUACUGCUUGUCUCUAUGACUUUGUCAUUGUUGAUGAUUAUUCAAGAUAUACUUGGGCGCAUAUAAUCCUUUACAAGACCGAAGUGCAGGAUGUCUUCAGAUGCUUCGCCAAUCAAGCAAUGAACAACUAUGGCGCCAAGAUAAAGCACAUCAGAAGUGAUAAUGGCACUGAAUUCAAGAACACUGGCCUUGAUACAUAUCUUGAUACUUUGGGCAUCACACAUGAAUUCUCAGCUCCGUACACGCCACAGCAGAAUGGCGUCGUCGAACGCAAGAAGAGAACACUUAUUGAGAUGGCUCGGACGAUGCUUGAUGAAUGCAAGACUCCAAGAAAAUUCUGGCCUGAAGCCAUUGACACUGCAUGACAUAUCAUCAACCGUGUUUAUCUUCACAAGCUUCUGAAGAAGACAUCCUAUGAACUCCUUACUGGCAAGAAGCCAAAUGUCAGUUACUUUAGAGUAUUUGGCGCCAAGUGCUGGAUCAAGGAUCCACAUCACACUUCAAAAUUUGCACCAAAAGCACAUGAGGUUUUAUGCUUGGAUAUGGAAAGGAUUCGCACUCCUACAAAGUCUUCAAUCUCUUUCAUUACAAAGUGGUUGAAACAGUGGAUGUGCGGUUCGAUGAAACUAACGGCUCACAAAGAGAGCAACUGCCAAAUGUGCUAGAUGAAGUUCCAUCCAGUGAAUCAAACAAACUUAUGGGAACUGGAGAAAUCAUACCUUCUAAAGCUCAACCUGAAGAAGAACUUAUCAUCUCCGCACCUGAUCAGCUUGAAGACAUUGCUCAGCCUGAAGACAAUGCUCAGCCUAAAGACAAUGCUCAGCCUGAAGACAAUGCUCAGCCUGAAGACAAUCCCUCUAACAAUGAUAAUGAUCAGCAAGAGCAAAAUCUUCGUCCUGUACAUCCUCGUGUUGCAAAUGAAGUGCAGAUUGAGAGAAUAAUCGAUAGCAUCAAUGCACCUGGUCCACUCACUCGUUCAAGGGAAACACAGCUAGCAAAUUUUUGUGGGCACUUCACAUUCGUCUCAAUAAUAGAACCCAAGAAAGUUGAAGAAGCCUUCAUGGGACCUGAAUGGAUUUAAGCUAUGCAAGAAGAGUUUCAACAGUUUGAGCUUAAUAAUGUAUGGGAACUGGUUAAGCGUCCUGAUCCUCGGAAGCACAAUAUAAUAGGCACCAAAUGGAUAUAUCGCAACAAGCAAGAUCAGCAUGGUCAAGUUGUAAGAAACAAAGCUCAUCUCGUUGCUCAAGGAUACACUCAAGUUGAAGGGAUUGACUUCGAUGAAACAUUUGCUCAUGUGGCUAGACUUGAAGCCAUAUGCAUACUGCUGGCCUAUGCAAAUCAUCAUUACAUACUUCUGUAUCAAAUGGAUGUGAAGAGCGCUUUUCUCAAUGGCAAGAUUGAAGAAGAAGUGUAUGUCGCACAACCACCUGGCUUUGAAGAUCCAAAACAUCCUGACAUGGUAUACAAGCUCAACAAGGCACUGUAUGGCCUCAAACAAGCCCCUCGGGCUUGGUAUGACACACUCAAAGACUUCCUGAAGAGCAAAGGCUUCAAAUCUAGUUCCCUCGACCCCACUCUCUUCACGAAGACAUAUGAUGGUGAACUGUUUGUGUGCCAAAUAUAUGUGGAUGACAUUAUCUUCGGCUGGACCAAUCAGAAAUACAGUGAAGAGUUUGGAUAUAUGAUGCAAGAGCAAUAUCAGAUGUCCAUGAUGGGUGAGCUGAAGUUCUCCUUGGUCUUCAAAUACGUCAGCAACGCAACGGCAUCUUUAUAUCUCAAGAGAAGUAUCUCAAAGAUUGCUUGAAGAAGUUUGGUAUGCAAGACUGCAAAGGCUUCACGACGCCAAUGCUAGCCAAACAUCAUCUGGGUCCCGACGACAAUGGUAAAGAGUUCGAUCAAAAGGUAUACCGCUCCAUGAUUGGUUCUUUACUUUAUCUAUGUGCAUCUAGGCCAGAUAUUAUGCUUAGUGUUUGCAUGUGUGCUCGAUUCCAAGCGGCACCAAAGGAAUCGCAUCACUUAGCUGUGAAGCGAAUUCUUCGAUAUUUGGCUUACACCCCAACUCUAGGAUUAUGGUGUCCAAAGGGCUUAGAGUUUGAUCUGGUUGGAUUCUCGGAUGCUAAUUAUGCUGGUUACAAGGUGGAUCGCAAGUCUACAUCAGGCACAUGUCAUUUUCUGGGACGAUCACUUGUAUGUUGGUCUUCAAAGAAGCAGAACUGUGUAUCUCUCUCCACUGCCGAAUCUGAAUACAUUGCUGCUGGAUCUUGCUGCGCUCAGCUUCUAUGGAUGAAGCAAACCCUCAAAGACUACGGCAUUCAUCUGAAGAAAGUGCCACUCUACUGCGACAAUGAAAGCGCCAUCAAGAUUGACAACAACCCAGUUCAGCACUCGAAGACAAAGCACAUUGAAAUUCAUCAUCACUUUCUCAGAGAUCAUGUUGUGAAGGAAGAUAUUGAUAUCAUACACAUCAACACUGAAGAGCAAUUGGCAGAUAUCUUCACCAAGCCCUUGGAUGAGAAGAGAUUUUGCAAGUUACGAUGUGAGCUAAAUAUCUUGGAAUCCUCAAAUGUCCUGUGAUCAGGCACACAUCCUAACAUUUAUGCAUAUUGAUGACUUAGAUGUGCAACACACGAAGUAAAGUAUAUCUUCAAUCAAUGAAGACAUACAUUCUAAGUGUGAAUACAUUAAUGUGGAAUUUGACUUCGGAGCGCCAUGAUAAUUGUGCGUCGUGUCUGGAUCUAAUACAUCCUAUACGGUGGGUAACGCCACCACAAAAUUCGUCUGUUUGAAGUGUUUUACCCAUGGUGUUACAUUUGCUGUAUCUUCACAUUUGAUUUGGCUUCAAUCUCAACAUGUCUUCAUGAUUAUCUUCAUUAUGUUGAUCAUAUAUAUGUAUAUACUAGUGUUCUGUCCUCUACAGCAUUCACUUAUAGCUAUGUCUUCUUGUUGAAUCUUUUGAACUAAGUGAAUGUGAUCGGACCCUAACCUCUCUAUGCUUUCUAUCUCAAACUCUAUCUCUCCAAAUCAUAUGCAUUCUAUUGAAACUGUCGAAUAUCUUCUCCGCGUCCUUGUCAGCAGAAGAUACAGAGACAAACAUUCAAUCCGUUUUCAAUGAUAAUUCCUUCACCUGAAACCCGGAGAAGUGGGAACGACCACCCGACAAUCCAGGCAUGCGUGGGAACAUGGAACAACCUCCGAUAUGUUGCAUGAUGGCCACGUGCUCUUCAGAUGUGAAUCACCAGGGGCAUCUAUGUAACAACGCUGUGCCGUCCCUGUCCCUAUAAAUACACACCUUACCACAGUCAUUAUCCUUUCUUCCACUCUCGCACGAACCCUAGUGAUGAGGACAUCAAUACCAUUGUUACACCCACAGCCCCUACUGUUACAUAUACUGGACCAAUUACUAGAGCUCGCGCACGCCAAUUAAAUUACCAGGUACUUGCAUUUCUUGGUAAUGAUUCUAAUGUUCAUGAGAUUAUGAUGCUGCCUAAAUUGGAUACAUUUGUUUUUCUUACAAAUGAAGGGCCUAGCUUGGAGAAGGAUGAACAUUGGAGCAAGAACACGCAUGGAGUUGAUGGCAUGCGCAAGGGGAUCAAGAACGGAGUUACAAGUGAUGAUUUCAGGACUUUGAAGCCGCCAUAAGGAGUGCAAGAAGCCUUGGACGAAAUAUACAAGAUGCCACUUCAUAAUAUUCGUCCAUAGGCUAUUCUAGGUGCUGCGUCACCUUAUUAAUGGGCCAAGCCCAUGUAAUUUCGAAAUACUUAAGUAUAGGCUAUUUUUAGAGUCCGUGUGUGUGGGGAAACAAGAGUUAGGGUUGGUUUCAAACCCCACCCUCAAGGGCCACUAAAUUCCCCCCCUCUUCCUCCAUAUAUACAACCCUUAGGGCGUCGUUUAGACUUUGGGUUUUGUUUAGAUUAAAAGUUUGCCAUAGCUGCAACUUCUCGUACUUCGUUUGUGUCCAACGACCAGACCAAGACGUCACAUAAGCCCACCUUGAUCAAUAAAGCUUUCAUCUCAUAUUCGCAAUAUCCAGAUUGCAAUCUCAGUUUCUUGCUUGUUCUUUGUUUGCUCGUAGGAAACAGACCCUCGUGGUCAGGUUGAUCGUGCUCCGGCGUGGUCAAUAACCCCUCGGAAGUUGGUUUAGCGAUUGCUAAGGCGCGACAUCUCGCACGUUCGUAGUCGGGUCGUCAAGGUCGACUCCCACAGAAAACGAUAGCCACCAUCUCAUCGAAACAUCGGGACCUUUGCCUCUAUCAAGUGGUAUCAGAUUUCCAGGUUGCUCGGUUAGAUUUUACAGUUUUUCGUAGAUUAGAUCAAGUCUGUUCUUCAUACCUACAGUCCACGAAAAAGCCACAAAAAAAUUAGGGUUAGUUCAUCAUAUCCGAACCAAUCUGAGCCUUUGCAUUAUCUUUUUAGGAUUUUUGCUUUGUUGAAUUUGUGGUUGCAUCGUCGUAUCAAGUUGCUGGUCUUAGAGUCUAGUCUUUUAGAGUUUCGAGUUCUGGUCAUAAGUUGUCACGCCGCCGCCGCACCAUCAUCAUCGCCUUGCCAUCUACCACCAUUGAUUAUCCGCCACCGCUCUGAAUCCGUAUCCAUAUACCACCACCAGUCCGUAUCCAUAUACCACCACCAAUCUGUAUCCAUAUACCACCACUCCUACCAUAUACCACCACCGCUGCCAUAUACCACAACCAUAUAUCCACCACCAAUCUGAGUUCUUCUCAUAUUAGGUUUGUUUUUGAGAUCAAUCUAAAUUCCGAUUUGUGUUUCCUUGCCUGCGUAGGUCUCGGAAAAAAAAGUCUCGAGACCCCCGGGCAGUUUUUAGGCCAAAAUUUUCAUGGGCAAAAAUAUUUUUUCCCUAUCCUAUUUUUAGGCUUUUCUGAGUCUUUUGAGCCACGUGCCAUCAUAGUGAUUUUUUGUCGCACUUUUUCAUCGUUGCUGCCCUGAUUUCUGAAAAAAAGUGAAAAAAAAAUUUUCGUGCCCAUCCUAUCAGUUUGACGAGGGAAGAGUUUUGAGACACUCGCCAUUAUAGUGAUUUUUCGCAAAAAAAAGAGGAGCGCAAAAAAAGGAGCACAAAAAAAGAGCGAAAAAAAAGAGUUCCAGAGUGUGCUUUUCCCUUAUUUACGUGCAGCGCCGUGAUUUUGUUAGUGUUCUAGGCUCGCGUCUCUAGCACGGUCUAGCCUAGGACCAGCACAGUACCGUCGUUGAGCUUUUAUUCAACUUUGCAUCUCUGAACUGAUUAUUGCUGACCCUUUUUUCUACCAUACUAUAAGCCUUCCAAGGUCCACAUACAUCUACGUCGUGCGUUUGACUCUCCCUGGCAAUCGCUCUAUCCAAGCUUUUGAGAGUUUUGACUACAACGGUUGCCGAUCACCGCCUGCUGCUGGGUAAGAACUGGUAAGAAUUUGAGAUUUGCUUGACGGAUUUGUGACACCCGCCACCACCACCACUUGUUAGUAGUCUGUAGGAUCAUAUUCUUGUGUGUUUCUAUUGCUGCUAACCAUGCCAGUAUCACAAGCCGACGAGACUGACUGGGAGAACUUGACGAACAAGGAGCUUCAUGAUAAGUUUCAACAAAUGAUGAGUGGACAGGGGCAAGAUGUGCUAAAAAGAUUUGAAGAGGCCAUGGAGAAGAUAGAUGGCAUGGAGAAGAUGUUUGAAACAAAGCUCGAUAACAAGUUUGCUGAAUUGCUUUCGCGUUUUCCACCACCACCACCGACUGCUCCUGCCGCACCUCUGCAACAACAGCAACAACACCGACUACCUCCACGUCGGGAAACAGCCCUCCGCCGAGCGAGCCGUGUCCCUCUUCAGCCGGGCCAAACUGCUGGUGCUGCUGUUGAUACUUCUGUGGAUCCUACUGCUGAUGUGGAGGAGGAUGAUUAUGUGGGAGAUUAUGAGGAUGAGGUUGAUCAAAAUCAGAACUACGUGCCACCACCAGCACAGCAACCACCAGGUCGUCCACAUGCAAAUAAUGGCAAUGGUAGGGCUCACCCUCAGGUAUGAGAUCAUGACCAUCUCCCUAAACUAAAAUUGAAUAUUCCACCAUUUGAGGGUAGAUAUGUUCCUGAUAUAUAUCUUACUUGGGAGUUAGAAACUGAACAAUGAUUUACAUGUUUACAAUAUCCCGAGGAGAGACGUGUUCCUGCUGCUGUUUGUGCAUUCACUAGUUUUGCAUGUGUUUGGUGGUCUGAGCAUUGUAGAUUAUAUCCUAUUCCGGCUACUUGGGCUGCUUUGAAAACUGCUAUGCGUACUCGUUGGGUUCCACCAUAUUAUCAAUGUGAAUUACUUCAAAAAUUGCAGCGCUUAAGACAGGGAAAAAAAUUCUGUAGAAGAAUAUUAUCAGGAAUUACAAACUGGCAUGAUUAGAUGUGGUAUUGUUGACGAGAAUGAAGCUAUGCUUGCACGUUUUAUGGGUGGAUUAAAUAGAGAGAUUCAGACAAUUCUAGAGUAUCAGGAGUAUACUAAUAUCACUCGUUUAUUCCAUCUUGCUUGUAAAGCUGAACGUGAAGUGCGGGAUCGACAGGCAUUGGCGCGGACUAACUUUUCUGCACGUCGACCUUCAUCAUGGACACCACGUGCAUCAUCUACUUCCACACGUUAUGCUACACUGGCGCCUUCAUCGGCUGCCACCUCCAACCGUGAUACAAUAAAGCAGGCACAAUCACCACUAUCUGCCAAGAGCAUACCUUCUGGGCCUGCAAAGAGCUCUUCUUCAUCCAUGGCAUCAACAGGGCAAACACAUGAUAUUAUUUGUCGACGUUGCAAGGGUGGAGGUCAUUAUGCGGGAGAAUGCCCAUCUAAGCGUGUGAUGAUUGUUACUGAGGAUGGUGGGUAUGAGUCCGCUAGUGACUAUGAUGAGGAGACUUUGGCUCUUAUUACACGUGACGAACACGGUGGAGACGAUUCUGAUCAUGAGACGCAAUACAUGGCUCCUGAAGAUGCUGACAGGUAUGAAUGUUUAGUUGCUCAACGUGUUUUGAGUGUGCAGGUUACACAAGCUGAGCAAAAUCAGAGGCAUAAUUUGUUCCAUACAAAGGGAGUUGUGAAGGAACGUUCUGUUCGCGUGAUCAUAGAUGGAGGGAGUUGCAACAACUUGGCUAGCAUGGAGAUGGUGGAGAAGCUAUCUCUCACCACAAGACCACAUCCACAUCCUUACUACAUCCAAUGGUUCAACAACAGCGGCAAGGUUAAGGUAACACGUACUGUUCGUGUGCAUUUUAGUAUCUUUACAUAUGCUGAUUAUGUUGAUUGUGAUGUGGUACCUAUGCAAGCAUGUUCCUUAUUACUUGGUAGACCAUGGCAAUUUGAUAAAAAUUCUGUACACCAUGGUAGAAACAAUCAGUAUACUCUUGUUCAUAACGAUAAAAAUAUUACUUUGCUUCCUAGGACUCCUGAUUCCAUUUUGAAAGAUGAUAUUAAUAGAGCUAAUAAAGCAAAACAGGAGACAAAUAAGAGUGAAAAUCAGAUUGUGGCAAAAGAAUUUGAGCACUAAAUGAAGCCUAAUAAUAAACCAUCUACUGUUGUUUCUGAAAUUAAAUUGAAAAGUGCAUGUUUACUUGCCACCAAAUCUGAUAUUGAUGAGCUAGAUUUUAGCAAAUCUGUUUGCUAUGCUUUUGUGUGCAAAGAGGCAUUAUUUUCAUUCGAGGACGUGCCUUCCUCUUUGCUCCCUGCUGUCGCUAACAUUUUGCAGGAGUUCGCUGACGUCUUUCCACAAGACGUGCCACCGGGAUUACCACCUAUUCGAGGGAUUGAGCAUCAAAUUGACUUAAUUCCCGGUGCUUCGCUACCCAACCGUGCACCAUACCGUACCAAUCCAGAGGAGAUGAAGGAGAUUAUGCGUCAAGUACAUGAGCUGCUCGACAAAGGUUAUAUACGCGAAUCUCUUAGUCCUUGUGCUGUUCCUAUUAUACUAGUGCCUAAAAAGGAUGGUACGUCGCGUAUGUGUUUUGAUUGUAGAGGCAUUAAUUAUAUUACUAUUCAUUAUCGUCAUCCUAUUCCUAGGCUUGAUGAUAUGCUUGAUGAAUUGAGUGGCUCUACAAUAUUCUCCAAAGUUGAUUUGCGUAGUGGAUACCAUCAAAUUCGUAUGAAAUUGGGAGAUGAAUGGAAAACAGCAUUUAAAACUAAGUUUGGUUUAUAUGAGUGGUUAGUCAUGCCUUUUGGGUUAACUAAUGCGCCUAGUACUUUUAUGAGAUUAAUGAAUGAAGUUUUACGUGCUUUCAUUGGACGAUUUGUGGUAGUCUAUUUUGAUGAUAUACUGAUUUAUAGCAAAUCUUUGGAAGCACAUUUGGAACAUUUACGUGCUGUUUUUAUCGCUCUACGUGAUGCACGUUUGUUUGGUAACCUUGGGAAGUGCACCUUUUGCACCGACCGAGUAUCUUUUCUUGGCUAUGUUGUUACUCCACAGGGAAAUGAAGUUGAUAAAGCCAAGAUUGAAGCUAUUGAUAGUUGGCCGCAGCCCAAAACGGUCACACAAGUGAGGAGUUUCCUUGGCCUGGCUGGUUUCUAUAGGCGUUUUGUGAGAGAUUUCAGCACCAUUGCUGCACCUCUCAACGAGCUUACAAAGAAGGAUGUGCCUUUUGUUUGGGGUACCGCACAGGAAGAAGCCUUCAUGGUAUUGAAAGAUAAGUUGACACAUGCUCCUUUACUCCAACUUCCUGAUUUUAAUAAGACUUUUGAGCUUGAAUGUGAUGCUAGUGGAAUUGGAUUAGGAGGUGUGUUAUUACAAGAUGGCAAACCUGUUGCAUACUUUUCUGAAAAAUUGAGUGGGCCUAGUCUGAACUAUUCUACUUAUGAUAAAGAAUUAUAUGCUCUUGUUCAGACUUUAGAAACAUGGCAACAUUAUUUGUGGCCCAAAUAAUUUGUUAUAGAUUCUGAUCAUGAAUCUUUGAAACACAUUAAAAGUCAAGCAAAACUGAACCGUAGACAUGCUAAAUGGGUUGAAUUCAUUGAGACUUUCCCUUAUGUCAUUAAACACAAGAAGGGUAAAGAAAAUGUUAUUGCUGAUGCAUUGUCUCGUCGUUAUACUAUGCUUUCACAACUUGACUUUAAAAUAUUUGGUUUGGAGACCAUCAAAGAUCAAUAUGUGCAAGAUGCUGAAUUUAAAGAUAUAUUGCAGAAUUGUAAAGAAGGUAGAACAUGGAACAAGUUUGUCGUUAAUGAUGGAUUUGUGUUUCGUUCUAACAAGCUAUGCAAUCCAGCUAGCUCUGUUCGUCUUUUGUUGUUGUAGGAGGCGCAUGGAGGAGGAAUAAUGGGACACUUUGGCGUGAAGAAGACGGAGGAUAUACUUGCUACACAUUUCUUUUGGCCAAAGAUGAGACGGGAUGUUGAGCGUUUUGUUGCUCGCUGCACUACAUGUCAAAAAGCUAAGUCACGACUCAAUCCUCAUGGUUUAUAUAUGCCUUUGCCUGUACCUAGUGUUCCUUGGGAGGAUAUAUCUAUGGACUUUGUUUUAGGUUUACCUCGAACAAAGAAGGGGAGGGAUAGCAUAUUUGUUGUCGUGGAUAGAUUCUCGAAAAUGGCACACUUUAUACCAUGUCAUAAAAGCGAUGAUGCUGUUAAUGUUGCUGAUUUGUUCUUUCGUGAAAUUAUUCGCUUGCAUGGUGUGCCAAAUACUAUUGUUUCAGAUCGUGAUACUAAAUUUCUUAGCCACUUUUGGAGAUGUUUAUGGGCUAAGUUGGGGAAUAAACUACUUUUUAGUACUACUUGUCACCCCGAAACUGAUGGACAAACUGAAGUAGUCAAUAGAACAUUGUCUACUCUGCUUAGGGCUGUUUUGAAGAAUAAUAAGAAAAUGUGGGAAGAAUGCUUGCCUCAUAUUGAAUUUGUUUAUAAUCGUUCAUUGCAUUCUACUACUAAGAUGUGCCCUUUUGAAAUUGUGUAUGGUUUCCUACCUCGUGCACCUAUUGAUUUGUUGCCUCUUCCAUCUCCGGAGAAGGUUAAUUUUGAUGCUAAAGAACAUUCUGAAUUGAUUUUAAAAAUGCAUGAGUUAACUAAGGAAAACAUGGAGUGUAUGAAUGCUAAAUAUAAACUUGCUGGAGAUAAGGGUAGAAAACAUGUUGUGUUUGCACCUGGAGAUCUUGUUUGGUUACAUUUGCGUAAAGAUAGAUUUCCUAAUCUGCGCAAAUCAAAGCUAAUGCCACGUGCUGAUGGUCCUUUUAAGGUGUUAGAGAAAAUAAAUGAUAAUGCAUAUAAACUUGAGCUACCUGCAGAUUUUAGGGUUAGUCCCACUUUUAACAUUGCAGAUUUGAAGCCUUAUUUGGGUGAGGAAGAUGAGCUUCCGUCGAGGUCGACUUCAUUUCAAGAAGGGGAGGAUGAUGAGGACAUCAAUACCAUUGUUACACCCACAGCCCCUACUGUUACAUAUACUGGACCAAUUACUAGAGCUCGCGCAUGCCAAUUAAAUUACCAGGUACUUUCGUUUCUUGGUAAUGAUUCUAAUGUUCAUGAGAUUAUGAUGCUGCCUAAAUUGGAUACAUUUGUUUUGCUUACAAAUGAAGGGCCUAGCUUGGAUAAGGAUGAACAUUGGAACAAGAACAUGCAUGGAGUUGAUGGCAUGCGCAAGGGGAUCAAGAACGGAGUUACAAGUGAUGAUUUCAGGACUUUGAAGCCGCCAUAAGGAGUGCAUGAAGCCUUGGACGAAAUAUACAAGAUGCCACUUCAUAAUAUUCGUCCAUAGGCUAUUCUAGGUGCUGCGUCACCUUAUUAAUGGGCCAGGCCCGUGUAAUUUCGAAAUACUUAAGUAUAGGCUAUUUUUAGAGUCCGUAUGUGUGGGGAAACAAGAGUUAGGGUUGGUUUCGGACCCCACCCUCAAGGGCCACGAAAUCCCCCCUCUUCCUCCAUAUAUACAGCCCUUAGGGCGUCGUUUAGACUUUGGGUUUUGUUUAGAUUAAAAGUUCGCCAUAGCUGCAACUUCUCAUACUUCGUUUGUGUCCAACGACCAGACCAAGACGUCACAGAACCCCACCUUGAUCAAUAAAGCUUUCAUCUUAUAUUCGCAAUAUCCAGAUUGCAAUCUCAGUUUUUUGCUUGUUCUUCGUUUGCUCGCAGGAAACAGACCCUCGUGGUCAGGUUGAUCGUGCUCCGGCGUGGUCAAUAACCCCUCGGAAGUUGGUUUAGCGAUUGCUAAGGCGCGGCGUGUCGCACGUUCGUAGUCGGAUCGUCAAGGUCGACUGCCACAGAAAACGAUAGCAACCAUCUCAUCGAAACAUCGGGACAGAUUUGCCUCUAUCACCUAGUGCCACCGCUAGCCCUCGACAACGCCGGCGACGAAGUGCUUAGCUGCCGCGACCUCUCCGACGCCGUCUUCACGCCGGCCGCGGACAUCGUCUUCUCCGCCGUCGCCAUAGGUGUCCUCCGUCGCCAAGUUAGGGCACGGACGAUCGAACUGCUCGGCCUCCUCUUCCACUACAUCUAGCAGUUCCUUGUGUGGUAAAUAAAACUUCCUUUUUACGGCCUCUUUGAUCCUAUAGAUUCGUCACUUUCUACCACAAGCAGUUUCUGUUCACACAAGUUGGAUCCACUUCAUACUGCAUCUCAUAUUAUGCCUAGUAUGUUCACUUAUGCUUCACAAAGUAGUUAGAUUCCUCACUUGUACUAAUCUGUGGAUUCGUACAAAUCUGGAACCAACUCCUUAUCUAUGAGUGAAUGUCUUCGCACGGUGAGGUCAAUGUCUUCUAAACUGAUUUAUCUUCAAAAUCUUCUGAGAAUGCAUAUGACCUCUUCCCCUUCCCUCGCACCUUAAUGCUGUCACAGGUACAUGUCCAUGGGAGAAUCCCUUGGUUCUCAUAGUCUGCAUUCAUUUGCAGAAUUCUUACAGCAUCACAUAAAUUCUCCCGAAACCAGUUCCUGUUUGUCCAGCAAGCGAAAGCCCUUGAAGCCUUUGAACGUAUUGAAGCCAUUCAGUUUAAAGUUCAUGGCUGCAGAGAAAUCAGCAAGAAAGGGUGGCAGAAAGCGUCGAGGUGAAACAUCAAGAGAUCUGCCCGAUGACCUCUCAGAACUGUACAAGACAGAUCCAGAAGAGGAUUACAAUCAGCGCAAGACACGAAUCCAAUGGAUUCGACGAUAUUGGGCAGAACAGUGGUUUAAGUACAGGUUUGUAACAAAGGAAUAUGCUGAGAAGAAUACCAUCAAGCGACCAUGGGGAGACAUCCUAUACAAAAAUCUUCAACCCAGGUCCAGAGAUGAAGCCAUUGAACAAGGCUUCUAUCCCUGCAUGGUCCGUGGACCACAGCCUGCGGAUGCUGACCCAUCGUGACUGCUCUGGUGUCGUGACGACAAUCUGUUCAAGCGCAACGAUGCCAUUGAUCUGUCCAGUGAUGAAGAUCUUGCAAAUGACGCUCUUGAGCAACUGAUCAAGAGCAAAGAAGAAGCAGAAAUCUUCAACAAUUUGCCUCUCUUUGACGUGGCAAUCAUCCACGACUUCAUCGAUGAGUGGUUUGACACUCCCAACCUCAGCUUUGAAGAUCUGCAACUUCCCAUUGGCCUCAGUGUCACUUUCCAUGGCGCCAUUGCUUCAGAGUUAGCUAUAGCCCAGCGCAUCGUUGAACUGAAGCAGAAGAUUGACUUUGAGAAAUCUCAGUUCAAGAAACAUAUGGCCAAGCUCAGCGUGCAAGAGGUCAAGAACUUCAAGACCACGCUGCAUGAGCUCAAAGAAGCCUUUCUCAAGAAGCGUGAAGAAGCUUAAGGUUCUCGUGAGCGCAUGAAGAACCUGGCUGACAAGUGUGUGCAAGCCUACAAUGAGGCUGAGAAAUGCAAGGCCCUUGGGCGCCCUGGCAUUGACCCCCGGAUGACUACAAAGCAGCAGAAGAAGAAGCCCGCUAUGGCCGAACCCGACGCACCAAGGCAGGAAGCACAUCCCAUUGUCUUCCCAACCAGCAUGACUGGCUCGAAGCCAAAAGAAAGGUCUACCACUUCAGAACUGAAGAAGACGAGGACUGCUGAGGCUGAAGCCAGAAAGAGGAAACAUCUUGAAGCCUCUGUUGCUGCUCCCUCCAAGAAGAAGUGGAAGACCAAGAAGGAACGGGCUGCUCCCACCGAGCCCUUAAUUGUUGAACCUAUCUCCAUGGUUCGCCCUGCCGCUGAACAUCAAGAGCGCCAACUUACUGUCCAUGAGCCUGCUUUCACAGAGGCUUGUGAAGCUGAAGACAUACCAGCAGCUGAUCCCACCGCUGCUGAAGACAUUGGUCACCAUGACCAUGUUGAAGAUGAUGUAGUUCUUCCUCAGAUGGAGCACCAAUAGGUAUUGUCGCCUGUGCUUAUGAACAGCUAACUCAUCAGCUUUGGUCGUUCUCUGACGCCAAUUGCUCAGGAUGCAUCAUGGGCUGAUCACCCACAACAACACGUCACACCACCCCGGCAAGAAUAAGAAGAUGACUUUGAGGCCCAGCCAACUCCAUCUCCAAAGGCGUCGCCAGUGUUACGCAGGCUUCGCAAAGGACCAAGGUCUCAAGUCUCCGAGUCUGAGGCUAAAACUAGUGAAGACAUUCCGACUGCAUCAGCCGAUGACACUCAAGAAGAAGAACGUGUCCCUACUCACCCAACUACUGAAGAAGCUGUUCUCGAGGAGAACGUGUCUGUGCCCGACCCUCCAGCUCAUCAAGUGGAGGUAGAAAAUCUUGAGGCUGCCACCACCAACACCAAUGAAGCCACUAACGCUGUCAUGGCUGAAGAAAAUGUGGAGCCUACACCAACCCAAGAACCAGAAGUCAGCGAAGCCAAUGAUGCUACUGCUUCUGUUCCUGCGCCUGCUGCUGGUCCUCAGUUUGACUAUCAUAUUGAGCAUAGGCCUCAGGUACAGAAGCCAACGCCAAGGUUUCCAUGGUUUCCAGGUCCUGCAUCAGCACCUGGAUCCUUCAAUGUCAAUAGCUUCAAAGCAGACAACACCUUCUUCGAUAGCUCCAAGAACCCCUACUCAAGGGAACGAAUAUCUUCUGAUCGGUUCUGGAGCUAUCCACAGCGAAGCUAUUACUCCUGCAUUCUGUACAAUCAUGGUCGCAUCUUCCCACAUAUGCGUCUUGACACCGAAGCAAUAGCUGGUCUGCCCUGUUUGGAAGAAGCUCUGGAUUGCUUCAAAGAGGUUGGAUUGCUGCCCUUCAUCACCGACCAAGAGCAUUGGAACGAAGAGUUGCUGCUCCAAUUUUAUGCCACACUUCACAUACGUGGUUACAACAGAGAUCCGAAGACUUGGGUCCUUGAGUGGAUGACAGGAAAUGUUCAUCACGAAGCCAAAGCCUUUGAUAUCAUUGAGCUCACUAGUCUGCCCACUCCUAGAGAUCUCUAUGAACCUGGUUGUCAACUCCAUAGUGAAGCUAUGGAGAGCAUCUUUCAUAAGCCUGAACCGAACAUGAGUCAGAUGCUCAGUAUGAUGAAGCCUUUGCCACAAGAUGUUGCAUAUCCUAAGGAGUUCUUUGUUGAAGACCUGGAGUAUCUACCAAGGACUAUCUAUCACAUUAUACGGCGAACUCUCUGGCCCAUCAAAGGACAUUCUCCACAUACAAAACUGGAAGGUGCAAUGAAGACUUUGGUCUUCUAUAUUCUUCAUGGGAAAUGCUUCAAUGCACAAGACUUCUUCAUCCGCCAACUUGGUGCAUUAGGAUCUGAUCUUUUUGGCUUGAAGUUCUACGCUCCAUGGAUAAUGCGGCUGAUUAAACUCCACUCAGCUAUCUCAUAUUAGCCAUCUGCUCGCAAUCAUCGGAUCUUUCUGCCUGAUGUGGAUAUGUCCGUUGAAGCCAUUUAUCUAGAGCCUGCCAAGGAACCUCUUAGUCUUCAGAAUGCGGAGCAUCAAAGUUUCACUCAGAACAUUGAAGGAGUUGAAGCAAUCACUCGUGUUUAUCCUCUGGCUGGUACUACACAUGCACCUCAUUGUGCCCUUACUGAAGCCACUGAAAGCACUAUUGCCCAACGACCCAAGAAGCGAUCUCGUGUUCUCAAUGACCGAGAGCUUCUGGUUGCUCUUCAUCAGAAACAGGAUAGGCAUCAUGACUGGCUGAAGCGCCAAAUGCACAGCCUCUUGGUCGAUGUCAACCGCAUUCGCAAUCUUGCCACCAAGAAUGCCUUUGUUGCCCAUGAAACCUGUCAGCGUACAUGGAAAGGGCUGACGCUUAUGUGUUCUGAGGAUGAUCUUCAAGAGGAUGGCUUCUCUGAACGUUUGAAGUUUGACUCCACACCUCCCCAAAGGACUGUGCUGCGACGAACUCCAUCUCUUGAAGACUCUGAGUUCUCUUCCUCUGCGGCAACUGUGAAUGCCAGAGUGAUCCAGGACGAAGAUGAUGCCACUUCACCGCCCCCUACUUCUGCACGCCUCCACACUGCCCCAAGUUCUUCUGCACCGCCGAACACCACCGACGACCCUGCUGCUUCACCUACUCUUCAUGGAAACAAGUAGCUGCUCUAUGUCUUCAAACCUUUUAGGUCCUCACUAACAAAAGGGGGAGAAGCAUAUGAGUUUGAUAGUCUUCAAGCGGGUCCAUAUGGGCAGUUACUUUAUGUUUUGCCUAGUGUUUACAACUCUCGCUUUGAUACAUUUGGUUCUUUGAGUUGUAACACUUAAACUCGAUGGUCAUCUGCUACUUAUUUGCUAUUUUGUGAUGCGAUGAUAAAUCCCGCAUGUGUGACGAUAAAUUCCGCACUUAGAUCUUUUUGUAGACGUCCAUUUUUCAUUAUGCAUGUCAUUAUCUUCACAUACCUUUCAUGCAUGAUGAAUUGUCAUCAUGAGUUGAAGAGGAUCUCCACAAGUACAACCUGCCAUGUGCAUUUGCAUUCCAAAAGCAAAUUACUUAUAUGCACAUCUUCAGGGGGAGCCCUUGCAACUUAUGAAGACAAUUCCUUAUCCUUUACAAUUUCACAUAUUAUAUUCCCCGUUGAAAACUUCAACUAGUUUGUCAUCAAUCACCAAAAAGGGGGAGAUUGUAAGUGCAUCUAGUGCCACCCCUAGUUGGUUUUGGAGUAUUGACGACAAACCUAGUUGAGGGACUAAUGUGUUUGUGAGAAUUGAAGGAUAACACAGGUAGAAGUCCCCCAGUGAUUCGGUUUUCCUUCCAGAGAUGACCCCUAAAAAUGUAUGAAGACAUUGAAGUCAAAGGUGGUAAGUGAAGACAUUCACCUUGAAGACUAUGACAAGAGAAGACAUCGCAUGAAGACUAUGGAGUGUGAAGACUUAGAUCUUUCGUAGUUCCUUUUCUUCUUUGUUGAGUCAUAGGAACUACCGUACUGUUAAGUGGGGUCCAAGAAAACCAGUCAGAAUGACUGAAGUGAUGCUUAACCAAAAUCCUAUGUCUUCGAGUGAAGACUAUGAGAGGGAAUCUUGUUCAGAGUUGGACAAGUCAGCUUUUCUUGUAGCCCAAGUAAAGUUGCCGUGUGUGUUUGAAAUCUGACCGUUGGAACACGUGUCAGUUCCUUAGUGACCCAGGGUCAUUUCGGACAAAUCAGGUCGGGUUGCCUAGUGGCUAUAAAUAGCCCACCCCCUACAACCAUAAAUGGUUGGCUGCUUAGAGUUAAAGUAUGGCUUUUGUUAUUUGAGAGCAACCCACCUCGAAGCCUUUGAGAGAGAAUUCCUUGAGAGGAUAAAGCCCUAACCACCCAGAGCCAAAGAGUGUUAGGCAUCACUUAAGUCUUCUGUCUGUGUGAUCUGAAGACUUAUUACACUUGAGGACUGUGAAUCCUCCAGCCAGUUAGGUGUCGCGUUCUGAGCAUCCAAGAGUCAUUGUGGAUCACCGGUGAACGAAGGCUGUGAAGGUUUGGAAGUCUACCUUGAAGACUUACCAGAGUAAUAGGGCGAUGACUGGGUGUCCGUAGCUCAAGGGGAAUAAGGUGAAGACGAGGUCUUCUUAGUUGAAUCUCAGCCUCCCUAACCAGACGUACAGUUGUCACAGCAACUGGAAUUGGUCCAACAAAUCAUUGUCUUCAACGAGUCACUGGUUUCAUCCUUCCCUUCCCUUACUUACUGUUGGUUCUUGUGAAGUCAUUGUACGACAGCAUCACCAUUUGACUUCACUAAGUGAUUACGUGUACUGAUUGGCUUCUUAACAUCUUCCUACCUGAUCCUUACUGCCUAUCUGCUAUUUGUCAUUGUGCUUUCACUUCAUUGAAUACAUGACUAUGGUUAGCCUAGUGUAGUCUACCUUCCGCUGCAUGAUAAUAGGUUUAUUUCUAUCGUUUGUCUUCGAAACUAACAUGUUUUGAAGACUUUCCUAAAAAUCGCCUAUUCACCCCCCUCUAGUCGAUCACUAGCACUUUCACAUACUCUUGAGAUGAUGUCACGCUCACAAUCCGAGGUGGGGCUGCUCUAGUAGGUGCAACGGUGGAGUAACCAACCGGCAGUGGUGAGCAUGAACUGGAAUAGUAGUUGUUGUAGUCACCCAAUGCAUCCUCCUGUAUCUGUCUCUCAAAGGUACAAGCACGGACAUACAUACCAAUAAUGCAACAAGGAAUAUACUGAAAUCUUGCCUGAAUAUCAUGGUUCAAACCACCAAAAAGUCUAUUCAUUGUAUCAUCCUCACAUUCUUCUAUGUCACAAUGAUGCAUAUAAGAUUUGAACUCUUGGUAGUAAGCAUGAAUAGUGUUGUUGCCUUGCUUAAAUUUUUCAAAUUUCCGAAGCAAUUCACGACGAUAGUAAGGAGGGAAAAUUGUUGUCUCAUUACAGCUUUCAAAACUUUCCAGGUUGUGGGUUGGUUAUCAAUGUUUUUCUUACAAUGUACACUCCACCAAACAGAAGCAAACCCAGUAAAUGCUCUAGUGGUAGCUCAUACUCUCUCAAGUUCAGAAAAAUCAUGGUGACUAGAAACUUGUUCUACUUCAAGCUCCCAAGCUAGAUAAAAAGAAGGAUUAAAUCUACCAUCAAAUGAUGGUAAAGAGAUAACCUGACGAUAUGCUUGUGUGUGUUGUCCCAACUCUCGUGAUGGUGAAGAUGUGUCCGUCGUACAAGAACUUCUAUCUCCGGAACCUGUCAUGAUUAGUAGAAACAAGAAACAAAAUUCAAGAAUAAUGUUCCUAUGAACUACUACGUCAUGGUGGUAAAACGCUCACAGUAUAACAAAUAUCAAUAUCUUACAAGUUCUUACCAUGCAGCAGGUGGUGACAGUCAACCAGCAGUGUUAAAUAACUCCGAAGAUUGUGUAAAGCGAUUGCCAGUGGAACGUACGUAUACACGGUGUAGAAAUAUGUGGAGCUGGGUUCGCUAUAUAUGGUAGCAAAAUAUUAGCAAUAAUCAAUUCAAAGAUGCAAUGUUGAAUAAAUGCUCAACGACGGUACUAUGCUGGUCCUAGGCUAGACCGGACUAGAGACGCGAGCCUAGAACACUAAUGAGGUCACGCCGUAGCACAACUAGAAUCAAUAAAAGAUAAGAAGUAGGUCUGGACAGCAAAAUAUAAGUGAAGAUCACAAUAGCCGUAAAGAUAAUGAUCACAAUAACCGUAAAAAUAUAAGUGAAGAUCUCAACCUUUCCUUUGUAAAAGUUUGUGCCAAUUUUUUUGAUAAUUUUUCAAGAAUGGUAUUGACUCGAGCUUUCAAACGCAAAAGGAAUCACUCAAUUCCGAGUUGAUAUGAGGAGUCAAAAAAUUCUAAAACUGGCCUGAAAAACUGGAAUAAGUUGUGUUCGUGAACUUCGGAGGGCAAAAAUAUCUAUUUAGAUGCCGAUUUUGAGGUGCCAAAUAUUGAACUAGCUUAUGCAACUAUUUAGAUGCGGUGCGUCGCUAGCUUUGAUUUGAGUACUCGUGGAGCGAAAAUGGACUUCGUAUGAGGAAGUUAUGACUGUUUUACUGAACAGUGUACACAAUAGAUUCCAAUCCGAAUUCAACCACGACAUUGAGUCUAUAGAUCCGAAUUUUGUUUUUUUUUCUUCUCUCUUUUUUUCUCUCUUUUUUUCCUCACACUUUUUUUUCUUUUUUUUUCUCUGACUUUUUUUACUUGUUUUCUUUUUUUUCUCUUUUUUUCCGUCUCCCUCUUUCCAAACAAACUAGAUAAGAUGCAGAUUGGAUAUAGCGAAGAUGUGAACAACCUCAACUAUGAUUGUGACAAUGAACGAUGGCUAGCACGUGGUGGAAAUUGAUGGAUGGGUGGUGGACAGCGAAAGGGAUAACGAUGCAGCGGCGGCGUGACUAAUGUGAACAGAACUCAAAACUCUAAACGAACUAGACACUAAGACAAGCAACUCGACACGAUGAUGCGACCAAUAAUUCAACUAUGCAAGCAAUGAAAAGAAAAUAGCAAAGGCUCAGAUUGUCUUGGACAAAGGAUGAAUAGAUCUAACCUUUUUUGUGGCUUUUUCUUAGACAAUAGGUAAGAAAAUAA
rnacentral:lncRNA from 1 species